AAUGUGGAAAGGUUUUACCUCCAGUACGUUUAUCGGUCACUGUAGUUACUAACAGAAAAGAAGAAGUAGCGAGCUUUUUGUUAAACUUGCGGUAGAACUCAUUACUCAUUAGCAACCUGGUAAUCGUGCAACACGAUUAAUGAAUGACUAUAGCCUAUGUUAUAUGGGAUUACAUAUUAGUCACUCGAUUAGCUGGAGAAGGGAAAUAAUCAUUCUAGGUAAUCAUUGUCGUACCUAUUCAUCAAUCAUAUAAGCAGCUCCAUCCCAAUUAGACUCUCCCAAUCCAGGAGCGACAUCCUUAUAAAUUGAGAUGCAGUUGCUUUCCCGAUUAAUCGCGCCGUUCUGUUAGUCAUAGCUUCCGACGAUUAUAUUUGUGUGGAGAGAAAUAGGUUAAACUUACGGAUUUGGAGAAGAGGUAUAUAUAUAAGUGUAACUUUGAAGGAAGCAGAAGAGUUGAAUGACCAUUGAUUGUCGAAGUGAAUCAUGAAGCUUUAUGAAUAGUUAAAGUAGUACUCUACGUUACUGAGGAGGGUUGGAGGAGGUGAAAGGGGAAAGGGGAAAAUUAACUCUGACGUCAAAACGAUAAAACAAUUUUUUACUCAUCUUUGAGCCAGCAAGAUGGGCCAAAAAUAUAUAACUCGGUCCAGAUAUGUUUAAAAUAAGUGACAUGGCAUUGUAUCAUUGGUUGAUUUUUGAAGCCGACGUGAAUAGGCUUCAAGAAGACGAUAGAACAAUUUUUUUACUCAUCCUUGAGCCAGCAAGAUGGGCCAAAAAUAUAUAACUCGGCCCAUAUAUGUUUAAAAAUAAGUGACAUGGCAUUGUAUUAUUGGUUGAUUUUUGAAGCCGACGUGAAUAGGCUCAAUGGGGCUCAUAUCCCUCUUUUACCUAUUGUUUGAUAUGAGAGAAGUGCUUUAUAUGCUUGUUCCAACAAGCACCAAUAACAAAAUGUAUGCAACAUUGAUUCAAAAUAAUAAAUUUUGAACAACAAUUAAGACAAGGUCAAUGGGAACGUUUCUUAUCAUCAAUGGCAAAAAUAUUUCUGAAUCAUAAAAUUAAUUUGAAUUUGACCCAAAGGAUCAUUAAGGUAUUAGACUAGUUGUCUAUUUAUCAAAUUAAUUUUUAAUUCCAAAUCAGUCUAUUCCAAAUUUAAUUUGGUUAACUCGGUUUUAUGUGCAAACACAUUUUAUAAUCGACUAUAUCUUUCUACCAAUAUACCAUAGUAUAUUUAUAUGGUCAUGAACCAGUUUAUUACUUCUCCAUAUAUAAAUAAGAGGAUUUUCACCUCAUAAUUUUCAUGUGGGAUAUUUACUAGUUUCUGAAACAUAGUCAAAUUGUCAAGCUUUACAAGUUUUCCAAGUUAAUGACUUUGGACCAACAUUUCUCAUUCAAACGAACUAAGAUUUUGACAUGUGGUUAGACUACUUCAUAGUGUCCAUGGUUAUUCCGAUGAACGUCUUUGCCCGGAAAUUUACUGAAAAUGGUCUAAAACCAUUUAAUCAAAAAAGGAGUUUCAACAAAUCUUUCAUCAUCUAAUUCAAAUCAUAGGUAUAAGGCCUGAAUCCAAUAAAGACAUGCACAGAGCUCAAACUCUUUCCGUUUGACAUCAAACGAUUCGAUUGUUAAUUUUAUUAUUAAAAUAUAACUUUUGUAAAAAAAUUCAAUAAGGAAGCAAAGAGCAUAUAUGUCUCGUCUCUACUCUCUAGACCCUAGUGGCUUGAGGGCACAGGAAUGCUCUGUUCGUAACGGAAAAAGUUGUCUGGAUCAACUCUGCUCUUAACACUAACCAAUCUCUCGAAGUUGUUCUUAAAAUACUUCACCCCAUACACUUUCCCUUCCUCGUACGUCGAAUUCAAGCUCGUGCCAAUGUCUACGUCUCUAUAGUUCAAAAACGCCUCUCUUGGGUUCUUUGACACGUAAGGGGUCAUUGCUUCGAAAACUCUCUCCGUCUGGCUCAUGCAUUCUUUAGCCACUUCUUCCCCUGGCACAAACCAGUUUGCCGCGUACUGGAUCUUGAACUUGUUGCCUGCUCGAUGCGGAAACGCUGUCUCGGUCGAUGGAAUCUCGCUCAUCCUCCCUCCGUACGGGUUCCAAGCCAUUGUCACGUUCUCGUUCUCUAACAGGACCUUGAAUAUCGCAUCUAAACCGGUUCUUGAUAUCGGUUUUUGGACGUAAUCAGACUUUCUCUUGAGGUAGAUUUGCUUUUGCGGGAUCCGGUUUAGCAUAACCGAUGUUGGUGCUGUACCGGGUGGGAUACUGAGCCAGAACAGAACCGAUUCGAUCCAUUUCAUUUCUAUGCAUUCUGUUUUGUUCAGACCAAGCUCCGGGAACUCCUUGGUCAUGAUCUCUAGAAGCCUUGACGAAUCUCCGAGGAACAUUCCCAUGAAAGAAGCCUUCACAGUUUUGUUGCUUGUGCUUAAAGUUAAUCGUAUGAACAAACUAUUGUCAAUCUUGUCUGCGAUCUCUUGCCAUUUCACUACAAGUUCCUUGGUGUUCACGCCACCUCUCUUUCCGACAGCUUCUACGUUAAAGACUGUGACCUUCUCUGGCACCGGAACAAGCUUGAUCUUCCAGGCUAAGACAACACAGAAACUAGCAGCUCCACCUCCACGUAAGGCCCAGAAAAGAUCUUCUCCCAUUGAGGUCCGGUCCAAGACUCUUCCCUUAGCAUCAACGAUCUUAGCGUCUAUAAUGUUAUCAAUCGAUAAACCGUAUCUUCUCAUCAUGUUUCCAUAACCACCACCGCUAAAAUGUCCACCAGCGCCUAAACCGGGGCAGAUUCCGGCAGGAAAUCCACGCAGAUCGUUGCUUUUAUUGGCGACUCCGUAGUAGAUCUCUCCAAGCGUAGCACCGGAUUGGACCCACGCGGUGUCAAGUUUACGACCAAACUCGAUAGACCGGAGGUUGAACAUGUCUAGGACAACGAAAUCUACUGUUGAUAGAUACGACAAUCCAUCAUAGUCGUGGCCUCCACUGCGGAUCCUGAGCUGGAGGCUGAGUUUCUUAGCGCAGGUGAUCGUAGCCUGAAUGUGAGUAACAUCGGCUGCAGCUACAAUAGCGAUAGGCUUACGUGUCGUGUUGUUGAAGUAACGGAGGUUACGGACGUAGUUAUUGAGGAUUAUGAGGAACUUAGGGUUUUGUGGAGUGUAUGUGAAGUUUUGAAUCGGGGAACAUGGAUUUGAGGGUUUCAAACCGAUGAUGCAUUGGGUGAAAACGCUUCCAAGUGUUGGUGGUGAUGCCAAUGAUGUUUGGAUUGUAAAGAGAAAAACAGAGAUGAUUAGGGUUUGGAUUGUUGGAGAUUUCAUUGCUUGUGUUUCUUGCUAUCACCUUCGUUUACGGGUUUGCAUUUUCUUAUAUGUUUGUUGAAUCGACAUGACUAUACAAUCGUCUGUUCUUGUAGCUGAAUGAAUACUUUAAGGUAGUAGAUUGAUAUCUUCCUAAAUUAGUUAAUUAAUCAAUAUGGAGAUUCUAUGCUUAAUAUAUGUGAUCUGUUUCCUAUAAGUUCAAUUGGUCCAGUCAAUUUAUUGAAUCUUCACUAUUAAAAGAGAAGUACCAUUUUUAUUUACCACAAAAAAGUCAUAAUAGGUUUAUUUUUUUUAUUACAUAUAUAUUAAUUAUUUACAUUAAUUUAUUGAAUAUAUAAGAUUUCUAAAAUUUUAAUAAUUAUAAAGAUAUUAAAUUAAAAAUUUGUUGAAAAAUCUGACAAAAUCUAAUUAAUUUUUUUAAAAUAUUGUUUUUAAUUAAUAAAUUAAAUAAUUUUGUAGUUAUUAAUAAAAUAUUAUUAUACUUAAUUUUAAAUACAAAUUUAUUAUAAAACAACGAAAAAUAAAAUUAUAUGCUAACCUUUUAUAAAUUUUAUAAUUAUGUCUAUAUUAUAUUAAAAUAGACGUAAUAUAUAAAUUAAAUAUUAAAAUAUCUUCUUUAUUAAAAGAGAAUUACUAUUUUUAUCUACUACAAAAUAGUCAUACUAGACGUCUAAGUCCAUAUAUUCAAAUAAUUUUUUUAUUGUUUACAUUAGUUUAUUUAAUGUAUAACAUUUCUAAAUAAUUAUAAGGAUAUUAAUAACAAAUCCAUUUUAACUAUAAAUUUAAAUUUUAGUUUUAGGAAUAACAAAAUCUGUUGAGAAAAAAUCUAACAAAAUCUUUUUAAAAUUUUUAAAUAUUCUUUUAAUUAACGCACUUAUUAAUUUUGUAAUUAGUAGUAUAAUAUUAUUAUAAAUUAAUUUUAAUUAAAUUUUAUUAUAAACAAAAUAAUGAAAUUAUAUGCUAAUUUUAUAAAUAUUAUAAGUAUAUUCUACAUUAUAUUAAAAUAGAAGUAAUUAAUGAAUUACAUAUUAAAAUUAUGCUGAAUUGGUAAACCAAUAUAUUUUGAAAAGUACUUUCAUUAAGAUGAAUAAAUAAAAUAUCAUUCACCGUUUAAAGUGACUAAAAUAUCAUUCAUCUUUUAAAAUGAUUAUUAUUCAAAAAUUAAGUAAUAAUUUUUACAAAAAAUAAAAUUAUUAGCAUAUGUUAAAUUUUAAUAUUUAGAACUAUAUAUCAUCUAUUAAAUUAUUUUUAAAAUGACAGUAGUAUAUUAUCAUAAAUUAUUAUAUACAAAAUAAUAUAAAAUUUUAUAUCUAUAAAUGAAAUGUUACCCGCACGGAUGUGCAGGCUAGAAUCUAGUGUUGCUUAAUAUAGUUAUAUACAUAGAAUUAUAGAAACAAGAUUUUUUUUCAAAUGUCAUGAGAAGAAAGAAAUACUUUAAUAUAUUUUUAUAAUUACAAAUUACGUAUCAUUUUGUUCUAUAUUAGCAUCACUAUUUUUAUUUAAAUAGUCUUCCCUUUUUAUGUUUUUCCCCGUAAAUAUUGAUCACAUUUUUCGAAGAGCGUAGCAUACUUUUUUUUUGUCGUAUGAAACCAAUAAUCUAGAUGGUUCAAAAAGUACAACACCAACACCAAAAUAAUAAAAAAUCAGCAAGAGACAACUACACUAACUCAAACUUACAGGAAAGGUUUAAGAGAUGAUAUUGGAACCUCGUUUCGAAUGAUCUCAUGUAAACAAAAGGGCCCUCCAAAAAUAAGAUAACAUUAGAACCGAUCAUCCCUCUACAAGUAAAGUAACACUGAAACCCACUAUCACUCCAAAAAUAAAGUAACAUUGGAACCGACCAUCCCUCUAAAAAUAAAGUAACAUUGGUACCCGCUAUCUCGUACGCUCUUCACAACUUCUCUUGCUACCUUAUUAGACUCUGAAGACUCUAUUUCGAAUAUGACCAUUGGAAACUCCAGACACAAGGCCGAAAUGUGGUGAAACAGAAUACAAUAUCUUGUCCAAUUUGUAGGGUUAUUGGUUGCGUCCACCAUAUCCUGAGAAUCUGAAGCAAUGACUGCAUCAUGAAUAUGAAGAUCUCUCAUAUCCUGAGAAUCUGAAGCAAUGACUGCAUCAUGAAUAUGAAGAUCUCUCAAGCUCUUCAUCACCCAAAUAAGGCAUCUCAACUCUGCAGUGAGCCUAUCUGAUGAGCAUGUAAAGGCAUCUCGAGCAUGUUAACCCACCAUACCUCUGUGAUUUUGAGUGAUCCAUGCACCUCCGUUAUGAAGUUUGUCAUUUCUCCAAUUUGCAUUCAUAUUAAAUAUUAUCUAACCAAGCAUUGGAGGUAUCCAUUUCCUCAACACUCGGAUUUUAGAGAUUAACACAUCCUCUUCCAACCUCUUUCUGCAACUUGAACCAUAAAUUAGCUUCAUCAAAGGCUUUUUGCACUUGGACCUGUAGAGAUUCUUGUACUCUUGCAUAUAUGAUACCAUUCAUGUUCUUCCAUAUUGUCGAUAGUACCAUGGGAUUUUCUCCAAGGCAAUAGUAUCAUCUAGCAUUAACUGGAAACUUUAUGAUAACAACUCAGAUCAAUCAGUGUGCUUCGUAUAAGCCCAUAUUUCUCUAUCUACGACUUUCCCAAUGGUCAUCUUUUGUAUCAUUUGGAUUUCAUUUGAUGAAAACAGCUCCUGGAGAAUUUCCAUUCGCCAUUUACCAUUAGACCGUAUCAAAGCUAAUACCUUCACGUUAAUAUCGUAAGAUACUUUUUUGUUGAUUGGCCGCUUAGGUACAUCAUCAAAGAUCCAAUGUUACGUUCCCAUCACCAAUAGAUUUGAUUAGUCCCUUUAACAAUAAUUCUCUGCCAAAAAGAAUACUUUUCAAGCAUAAGAAGAUCUGUAACCUUUACCACAUUCCAAAAAAAUCUUUGGAAGCAUAGUAUGUGUCUUUGUAAACCCGAGCCAGAAGACUUUUUGGUUCAUUGAAUAAUUAACCGCCAUGUUUGCUUGGCUAACAACGCUUGAUUGAAAUAUUUUAUUUCUCUGCAAUCCAAACUUCCCUUGUUUUUAAGAAUACAUAAUUUCUUCCAAAAUAUCCAAUGAAUCUUCUUCUUAUCUCAAUCUUUAUCCCACUAGGAACUUGUUAUUGCACUCAUGAUCUUUUAAUUUGGCAGUGAUUUUAGUGUGGCGAAAGCAUGUCACUGCAUACAUAGGGAGAGUCGUAGUAAUAAACUUGAGAAGUACCUAUUUUCUCUAAGGGAAAUCUCUUUGGCAAACUACCCUCUAAGUCUUUUUUUUUAGUUCCUGACAAGUGAAAGCUAAAAGUCAUGUUUUGAUCCAUUCAAACAUUCAGGCGGGCCUAAAUAUUUCUUAUGUCCUUCUUCAUUUUCGAAGUCCAAGAUCUCAAUAAGUAAUCUCUUCGUAACCGGGUCAAUAUCCUUACCGAAAGUGAUGGCUGAUUUCUGGAAGUUACUAACCUGACCCGAUGAAUCUGCUCCAUAUAGCUCCAGACAUCACAAAAACUCUGCACUCACUAAGAUUUUCCUUGCACAGAAAUAGGUUGUCAUAUGCGAAAAAUAGAUGCUACACAGAGGGAUAUUUUUGGGUGAGUUGCAUACCUGUGAUUAGUCCAUUUCAUUCUGCUGUGUUCAUAAAAUGCACCAAGGCUUCUAUGAGAAUAUAAGCUCCACGUCGAAGUUUAACUGGGACAUCUCUAUAAUAUUAUUUGAGAUAUCAGUUUCGUAUGUGUCUCAUUCACGUUAAUUCUCAUGAUAGCUAAUUACAUUGAUAACCUUAUUGAAUUAGUACUAUUAUGCAACUGCCAUUAUCAAAAUUUCUGUUGUGAUUUUUUAUAGUAAUUUUUUGUUAAAUAUCAAAAAGGAAAAUAUCCAUAUAUCUUUCAAAGCUAUUUGGUAUCUUUAAAUAUAUGUAUUUGGAUUUGAUAAGAUAGGUAUAACAAAUAAUUAAUUAAAAAAUAUUUUUCAUUUUUUUAGAAACAUAUACAUAUGUAAUCAAUUAUACUAAAAAAAUAUUAUCUAUUAUUUAUUUUUAAUAAGUAUGAGAUCUAUAUUUACAAAAAAAAUAUUUUAUGGAUUAAAAAUAUUUAUUAUUUUAUUUUCAAAAUAAAAGUUACUCGAGAAAUUGUCUAAAAUACCACAAGUUAAGUACCACUUUUCAGAAAUACUUUCAAUCCAAAAUAUAUAAACAUUUGGGUUUAGGAUUUAGUGGUUAUUUUUUAGUGUUUAGUAUUAAACGGUUUGGAUUGGGCUUACAAAUGUUUUAUAAAUAUUUUGAAAAAUUAGCUUAGCAGUAUUUUGUCACAAAUUUAAAAUAUUUAUGAAAAUAGUCAUUCAUUAAUGGUAAAUUUAAAAAGUGGUAUCAAAUUUAUGGUAGAAUUAAAAUUUCCCCUAUUUAAUAUUAAAGUGAGAAAUCAAUAUUUUUAAUUUCUUUAUUUUUCUUCUUCUACUAUAGUUAUAAAAACAUAUAUAAAAUUAUAUAGAAUUUUAUAAAUCUAUAUUUACAAAUGUAAGAUAAAUAACAAAACUAAAUGAAAAGUCAAAAAUAUUAACUUUUUAACCUUAGAACCAAGAAAAACAAUUAUUUCAAUUUAGAGAAGUUGGUGCAAUUAAUAUGUUUUAAAAUAAUUAAUCGAAUGGUCUGAAUUGUUAUACAUAAAAUUAUAUGUCAAAUAAUAUAAUUUAAAAAUAUACUUAAUUAUAUAUAUAUAUAUAUUAUAAACCAUCUUAGCAAAACAUUAAUCAUUUAUUAUUAUAUAUUAUUUAUAAAUAUUUAAAUAUGUUUAUAACUUUUUAAAAUAUCACUGAUUAUAUUGGUUAAUGUGUUAAUUAAAUUGAGACUUAGUUUUCUUUUUGUCAGCAACAUAAACAGACUCAAACUGACUCUACAAACCAAACUGGUAGCUCCACAUCAAUAUGGACAACAAAACGAUGGUUGCUUCCUUGCACUGCGUGCUAGGCUGUCCGCCUUAGAAUUAUGUGUGCAUGGUAUAUGGAUGAUUUAUGAGCUCUGGAAGCUCAUCUUCAAGAUUUUUAUGUCUUCCAAAUAAUUUGCAAAGGUUGGUCAUUAUUCUGGUUUUGAAACAAUUUCACCAACUGAGAAUAAUCCGUUGCAAAUGUAACUGUAAAUUGCCUGAGAUUUCGCAUACAUUCCAAUGCUCAAAUCAAAGCAUCGAUCUCCGAGUGUAAGGGAGACUGAGCCGCUCUUGUAUUCUUCGCUCCCAUUAAACCAUCAAAACCUUUCAGAGUGCUAUACCAUCCUUGUCCGGAAAAGGGUUCUUUGGUUUUCCAUGACCCAUCUGUAAAACACCAUCUACCUAAGAUAGCCGGUACCAUUGGUUUCACCGCCAAGCGAGAAUGGUCAAGUGUCUGUAUAAGUAAGUGAUUACUUAUACAGAUCCAUGCAAAUUGAUGAUCUUCCAACUCUGGAAAGAUCCUCCUAAAUAAAUGAUCCAUGUUUGUAAAGAUAGGUUGGGUGGAAAAUAUUUUUGGGUUUGAUGGAAUGCGAGAGAGCGCCCAAACCUGAACCGCCGGUAGACAUUCAAAGAAAACAUGAUUAAUGGAUUCCUCAGGGUCUUCACAUCUUGCACAAAUCGUACCACCUUGUAUUCCUCGUGCUCGUAAUUUUUUCUUGACUGCAAUACAUCCUAUGACCAAUUGCCAUAAAAAAGGGCUUCAUCUUAGGUGGACAACAAAUUUUUCAGCAGUGAGCCUUCAAUGGAUUGACUGAAAGACCGUACUCUGGUAACGUUCUUUCUCCAUCCGGAUACACUCGUUCUAAUUGGUAUCUGGAUUUAACCGUGUAUCUCCCAGUAUUAGUGAAAUGUUAUCCAUCUCGAUCUGGUGACGAAAAUCAGCUGAGUGGAAUGAUUUCAAUUAAUUCCACAUCUUGAGGAUCCACCAGAAUCCGAAUACCUGUAAAGUUCUUGUUCUUGAUUCUAUAUUGAUGAGAGAAUCCACCGUAAGGUCCGGGUAAAUGUUGUGUUGAAAUUUUAUUUACUGGUCUCCGGCGAGUGGAUGGAAGCCAAAAAUUUUAUUUUUCUAAUUCUUCGUUAAACAAUAUAUUUAAUCAUACAAAUUGUUAUCAAAUAUAUUUACAAGAGGAUAUGAUGAAUGAACCAAAUAUAAUUAAAAUUCUUUUUUGUAAUAUAUCUAAAAAUAAAACAAAAUGGGAUUCAACUGAAAAGUAAACAACCUAAUGCGAAAUAAAUUAAACCGUUCAAAUUGUUAUACAUAUAUAUAAUUAAAAUAACAACAUAAUUUUAUUUAAAUACAUUAUUCUGUUUAAUUAUUUUUCAUACAUAUAGAUUAUUAAAUAAUUUAAAAUCUAUCAAAAAGUGGAAACGAUAGAUUAAUUAAUUAUAAUUUGACUAUUUUGUAAAUAUUUAUAUAUGUGCUUGAGCACAGAAAAAUCACCUAGUGAGUGAAAUGUGAGAGUAAGUUCACUUAUGACAAUUGGUUUUUUUUUUUUUUUUUUUUUUUUUUUUGAUGAAAUGUGAAAUUUAUUGAUAAGAGUAAAAUAAUAGGCAUUUACAAAAGAAUAUGGAAACUAUAUGAGUAGGCUAUACAAAGAAGCAAUAUUUUAUGAAAAAAACCUAUGGCCUGUCAAAUACUUCAAACCAACGUUGAAGCAAUCCAGCAAACCGAUGAACCGGCCCAUAACGAAGAGAGCUGAUCCUGUUCCGUAUGGCUUUAUCAACGAUCCGGAUAGCUUGGUCCACCGUACGAAAGCCUCUCUGGUGUCUGCGUUCAUUCCUCUCCUUCCACAUAUAGUAAACACAAGUCUGGAACACCAUUUUCAGUAGGAUCUUAUCCAUAAGCUGAAGAUUAUUGUUAGUAACAAACUGCAGAGUGAGCGACCAGUCCGGAUUGAUCCUUCUGCCACACAAACUACCUGCUAGUCUAUCCCAAACAGAGUAUGUGUAAGGGCAAGCAAAGAAGACGUGAUCCCUUGUCUCAUCCCACUCACCACACAUCACACACCCUUGCUGAAUGCCCCACGCCCGCAUACGAUCUCCUGUAGAAAGUCUGUUCUUAACAGCCAGCCAGACAAUGAAGGAGUAUCUAGGGACUCCUUGAGUGAACCAGACACAUUUACUCCAAGGUACAGUGGCCUUUCUCACACGUAUCUGAUCCCAUGUUCGAACCGAAGAGAACUGCGCUUUAUAAGUGUCCUCUGCAUGUUUCCAAAGAACCUUAUCCCUCCCUUGAUCUUCCUGCGGCACCUGAAUAUUCUGGAUACUCUCAUAUAAAUCAUGAAAGUGACGACUACGCUGGCCUCGAAUGUUCCAGCGAGAUUGAGCAACUGCAUCAAUAACUCGAGCAUUCCGGGCUACUCCAAGGUAACAAGUACCUACAGCGCCAGUAAUGUCAAUAAGCCUGCCCAUCUGCAGCCAAUCAUCAAACCAGAAAAAAGCCUUUUGUCCAUCAUUGAUCUCAAACCUAAUAAACUGAUAAGCUAGAGGCCUCAGCUUUAAUAAUUUCCUCCACAUCCAAGAACCCUUUCCAUGUAAGUCCGAAUUAAGCAUGAUAUCAGAGUCCGACACACAUUGCCCAAACUGAACCGAAAUCGAUCCGGCCCAUUAAAAGAAUGAGAGAUACCCUAUCGAUCCUAAACCGACCUGGCCCGAAUGUUCAUGCGGUCUGACUGAACUGAAUCCUAAAUUGGGAUAUUAUCAAGAUUAAUAGUUAUAGGAACCAUUAUCUCGAGAGAUGGUACGAGAAUAUAAGCUCUCACAUCGGGACUCUAACUGAGACAUGAGAAAUAUAUAAAGGAUUCAGGCCCGGCUUAAAUAUUAAAUGGGCCCUGUGCUAAGUUAAAUUUUUCUAAUAAUUUUAGGUAUAUAAUUGUUACUUUCACAACUAAGACCCUAAUAUUUAUACAUUCUAACAAAACAGGGCCCUAAUUUCCUUAAGAAUUUUUUUUUUUAAAACAAGACCCUGUGCAAAUGCACUGUGUGCACUACCUCUAAGCCGGCACUGAAAGGAUUAUAGCCAAUCUAUUUAUCACAAACUGGUUUGGUUUUAAAUUGAAAGCACAAUGAACCCGAAUUUAGCAGGUUCAACACAAAUGAUGAAAUGAUGAAUAAGAAAGGAAUUAAUGGAUCUUCAUACCUAAUUCCCUUUUACGGAGUGAAAUGCUCAUUAGAUUCUCCAUUGAUCAACCCUGUAUAAGAAACAGUUCGAACACAGCACAUCAUCCAACUAAUCUAUCGCCUAUCAAAACCCAUGUUCACAAAAAAAUCAUAGACUAUAAUAGAAAUCGAGAAAUAAAUCAAUUACUACUAGCUGUAUAUAACACAUCAUUGGACUAUUAAUUAUUGUUUCCAACACAUGCAUAUUAUUUUAUUGAUUUAUCAAAAAUGUUAUCAACAUUUUGUAACCAAUAUGACCUAGAGAGUGCUUAUAGAAAACAUAUUAUUCUCAUAGAUAUAUCCAACAGACAAGUCCUUGCGCAUUACUAGUCCAACUCUCCCGUAUACAAACGCAAUUAAUCUCGCGAAACUGAUUCUUAAAAUCCCUAAAUCACACAAUUUUCCCAGUAAAACCGAGUUUUUUUUUUUUUUGCAAAAGUAAAACCGGAAAUUCUUCCGGUCAUAGAAACAUAAGAGACCAUUAGUUUUUCUUUUACUCAACUUCAACUUUCAUUUGCCAAAGCCUGGCAAGUAACAACCGAUCACGUUGACCACCAAUGAAAACAAAUUAGUUAAUUCAACCGGUGAAGAUGAACGGAAAGAGACGAUUAGUUAGCUCCGUAAUAAAGCGAGUCGCAAAAAUUAAUUAUAUAUGCCUCUCCACAUGCACGGCAUAGACCAAAAUAGUUCAUUGCACUAGCUCAAAACUGUAAAGUCCAUCCCGCUUUACUACUUGAAUUAUCACAAGCGAAUCCUUAUUUCCCAAAUGUUAGCAUCUGCAUAAGCGAUCUCAAUCAGUCAAUCGUAUAUCUUAGGUGAUUGAUCAAAAGUGUUCAUAAUUCAUGGGAUUCAUUGUACUAAUUAUCAAAAUAGCCCAAGAAAAUCCUUAUCCCACCUCCACCCUAAGCAGAACCGGCUUUUGAGCCAAACUAAAGAAACUCAUGCUUACAACUGAUAUUCAAUAAAUAACUUUUAAACAAAUAUUUUAUUUGAAAAUAUUUCAAAGCUCCAACCUUUUAGUAUCAAAUCUCUUUCCUGCUCUGACUCUUGGUUAUGCUUCAUUAGAAUUAUGUGACGGUAAAAAUAUUAGUGUUGGGAUGGAUUAGCAAAAGGGUCUAUUACUACGAACACUGGUGCCGUGGUGCACCAGAGAACACAAGAAUAGAGUGAGAUCCUCAAAUAAGAGUUCAAUGUUCCUUUUUAUUGUCAACAUAAUCAAUAUUUCAUCUAUAUACUACUAUUAGUAAACUCUACUGUAGGCCCGAGCUUCUGAAUCUAAUACCCAUAUAACAAUCAAACUUUAUUUACUAUAAACUUUAUAAGAAUUACAACACAAUCAUUACACAAUAGCAAUUUCACUAAAUAAAUAUAUGAAACUAUGGUUUCACAGGAAUACUCUGUUCGUUCCUGAAGAAGUUCCCACUAUCAACUCUCGUCUUAAUCUUCACCAACCUCUCGAAAUUUCCGUUGAAAUAUUUCUUCCCGUAACGUUCACCUUCCACGUAGCUCCGGACAACUCCGUCGUGAGAAUUAAUCCCCAAGUCAACAUCCCGAUAGUUAAAAUACGACUGUCUCGGAUUCUUGGAAACAAAAGGAGUCAUGAACCGGUACAGCUCCCUAGUCAGCUCCAUAUACCGGUUCGUCAACCUAUCUUCUCUCCAGUUCGCACCGUACUGAAUCUUCCAGAGGUUCCCUGCUCUGUAUGGGAACGGAGUAGCCGUGGACGGAACCCUCCCCAUCAUGCCGCCGUAUGGAUUGAAAGCCAUCGUUGGGAUUUCAAGCUCGAUCAUCUUCUUCCAUAUAGAUUCUAAACCGGUUCUUGAAAUCGGUUCGCGGACGUAAUCGGACUUCCUCUUGAGAUAAUUAACGGUUUGGUUCCUCUGGAGGAGAACUGUCUCCGGCGUACCAACACGGAUAUUCGUCCAGAAAAGCACUGACUGGAUCCAGCUCGUCUCGGUACAGUCUGAUCGGACCAGACCCAGUUCUGGUAAUCUCCGGUUUAAUAUAGACAGAAGCGUUGAUGCGUCUCCGAGGAACAUACCUACGAAAGAUGCCCUAACGGUCUUUUUAGAAGAAACGGUACCGUUUACUACGUCAAUGACGACUCUUAUGAAGAGCUCGUCGGGAAGCACUGAAGCGACUUGUUGCCACUGGUGAACGAUCUCCGUCGCGUUUUGUUCCAACGUCCGGGAGACUCUAAAAACGGUGACGUUUUCAGGGACUUCGACGAGGUUUAUUUUGUAGGCCAAAACGACGCCGAAGCUUCCUCCUCCUCCUCCGUUGAUUGCCCAGUAGAGAUCCUCUCCCAUCAUUUUUCUAUCCAAAAUAUUUCCUGAAAUUUUAAAAUAUAAUAUAGUGAGUAAAUAAUUAUAUAUUAAACAUAAUUGCGUCUAACGUUUAUAUAUAUUGUUCAGGUGAUUGUCUAAACUGAAUAAUCCUUUAAAUUAUCUUAACCAAAAUUUUAAGCAAAAUCACUGUGUCCUAAUGAGUAUGGUUGAUUUUAGGACAUUGAGUAAUACUUUAAAAUUUUAAUCAGCACAUACAAUAAGGAAGCUACAGGGAUAUUGAUUAUACCAUUGACAUCGACCAUUCUUGCAUCGAUAGUAUUAUCGACGGUUAGACCGUACUUUCUCAUUAUGUUUCCGUACCCUCCGCCGCUAAUAUGGCCACCAACACCAACCGUCGGACAAAUCCCUGCCGGAUAAGCUAGGGUUUUGCUUUUCUCCCAUAUAUAGUAAUAAACUUCUCCGAGAAUGGCACCGCUUUGGACCCACGCGGUUUUACUCGCUAGGUCAACAUCAACCGACCUGAGAUUAAACAUGUCGAGGACAAAGAACGGCUUCCCAGAGUACGUAACGUAUGACAAGCCGUCGUAGUCGUGGCCGUAACGGUUUGGUUCCUCUGGAGGAGAACUGUCUCCGGCGUACCAACACGGAUAUUCGUCCAGAAAAGCACUGAUUGAAUCCAGCUCGUUUCGGUACAAUCUGAUCGGACCAGACCUAGUUCUGGUAAUCUCCGGUUUAAUAUAGACAGAAGCGUCGUUGCGUCUCCGAGGAACAUACCUACGAAAGAUGCCCUAACGGUCUUUUGAGAAGAAAGGGUACCGUUUACUACGUCAAUGACGACUCUUAUGAAGAGCUCGUCGGGAAGCACUGAAGCGACUUGUUGCCACUGGUGAACGAUCUCCGUCGCGUUUUGUUCCAACGUCCGGGAGACUCUAAAAACGGUGACGUUUUCAGGGACUUCGACGAGGUUUAUUUUGUAGGCCAAAACGACGCCGAAGCUUCCUCCUCCUCCUCCGUUGAUUGCCCAGUAGAGAUCCUCUCCCAUCAUUUUUCUAUCCAAAAUAUUUCCUGAAAUUUUAAAAUAUAAUAUAGUGAGUAAAUAAUUAUAUAUUAAACAUAAUUGCGUCUAACGUUUAUAUAUAUUGUUCAGGUGAUUGUCUAAACUGAAUAAUCCUUUAAAUUAUCUUAACCAAAAUUUUAAGCAAAAUCACUGUGUCCUAAUGAGUAUGGUUGAUUUUAGGACAUUGAGUAAUACUUUAAAAUUUUAAUCAGCACAUACAAUAAGGAAGCUACAGGGAUAUUGAUUAUACCAUUGACAUCGACCAUUCUUGCAUCGAUAGUAUUAUCGACGGUUAGACCGUACUUUCUCAUUAUGUUUCCGUACCCUCCGCCGCUAAUAUGGCCACCAACACCAACCGUCGGACAAAUCCCUGCCGGAUAAGCUAGGGUUUUGCUUUUCUCCCAUAUAUAGUAAUAAACUUCUCCGAGAAUGGCACCGCUUUGGACCCACGCGGUUUUACUCGCUAGGUCAACAUCAACCGACCUGAGAUUAAACAUGUCGAGGACAAAGAACGGCUUCCCAGAGUACGUAACGUAUGACAAGCCGUCGUAGUCGUGGCCGCCGCUUCUGAUUUUCAUCUGAAGGUUGUGACGUCGGCCACAAGUAAUUGCGGCUUGAACGUGUGAUUCGUGUGUUGCGGCGAUUAUAAGCAGAGGUUUGGGAGUUGUGGAGGUGUUGAACCGGAGGUUGCGGAUGUAGGCUUCUAGUACUGAGGAGUAGGAGCUGUUUCCGGAGAAGAUCACGGCAGAGGAGAUGGGAUGUUUGGGGUCGGAGUUCGACGUUAGGCAUUGUGUGAAAGUCUCGGAAUUUGCUAAUGAUGAGUUUGAUUCCCAUAUGGUGACAAUGAAUAAGAUCAAAGCUAGCAACGUUGUUCUUGAACGUUUCAUUUUGAGCAAUGAAAUAAGAAUAAACAAAUUUUUAUGUUUGUAAAUUUCGUUAUGGCUUUUGAAGGUAUAUAUAAUAGAGAACUAAGAGAAGAUCAUGCAUGACGCCAAAAUGUUUGACCAAGAAAAGUCAAAUGUGGGUUCAACUUGUCUCAUAAUUUUUUUAUUUUGCGUGAUGACAAUGUUAUAGUAUUUAGUUAUAGGGAAAAUCGCAUAAAAAACCUUGAAAGUGUCACUUACUCGCACUUUAAACCUUGAACUUUUUUCACUAACACUUUUAACCUUCAAAGUGACAUUUUUAUCAUAAAAAACCUCCAAAGAAGAAAAAUGACCUGUUUAACAGGUUAAAAACAGUUUUUUUUUUCAAAAAAUAAUUAUUUAAUUAAUAAAUAAACAAAAAAAUUAAUAAAAAUCGAAAAAUUAAACAAAAAACUCCUAAAUUAAAAAAAAGUGAGAAAAAUAAAUAACGAUUUAGAAAAUUAAAUAAAAAAUAACUAAACAUUCAAAAAUAAAUAAGAACAAAUUAAAAUAGAGAAAAAAUAAUAAUAAAUUUCAAAAAUUCAAAAUUCAAAAAAGUCUUUUUUUUUUUCAUUUCAAAUAUAAUGUCGAAAAUUAUCAUUGGAGAUAUGCCAAAAACCGUCAUUGGAGAUAUGUCGGAAAUAACGGUUUUUGGCAUAUCUCCAAUGAUACGGUUUUUGACAUAUCUCCAAUGAUAAUUUCUGACAUUAUAUUUAAAAAUGAAUGUUGAAUUUUCAUUUUUUUUUUGAAAUUUAUGAUUUUUUUUAUUUUUCUCCAUUCUAAAUUGAUCUUAUUUAUUUUUUGAAUUUUUUAUUUAAUUUUUUAAAUAUUUAUUUAUUUUUUGAAUUUUUUGAAUUCAUGAGUUUUUUGUUUAAUUUUUCGAUUUUUAUUAAUUGUUUUGUUUAUUUUAUUAAUUAAAUAAUUAUUUUUUGAAAAAAAAAACUGUUUUUAACCUGUUCAGCCGGUCAUUUUUCUUCUUUGGAGGUUUUUUAUGAUAAAAAUGUCACUUUGAAGGUUACUCCUUUUUUUUUUUACAUUUUCUACUUAAUUAGUCUGAAUGUACUGCAGUACAAAAGCAUAAGAGAUGCAAGAAAAAUGAUAAUGCAGAUGGUACUGCAUUUUGUAUUAAUUCAUAGAUAAAAUGCAGAACUUGAAAAUAACAAUAAUAUAUUUAUGUGCUGCAUGCAGAACACUAAUGUGUUGUUUUAUUGUACUACAGCUAAAAAGGAGGGGAGGAAGGACGGUUCAAAGGCAGAUGUCCAAUAGCUUUGCUGUGUUACUUUUAUUGGAUCCAAAACAUAUGUAAUUUACUUUUUUUUGAUCAAACCAUAAUUUCCUUCAACUUAUUAUCUACAACUAGUACAAUACUUUAUUUACUUUGAUUAAGUAAAAAAAUUCACUUAUUCUCUAAAAAUAUACACAUGCAUUUUCAUAUUUUUUUUAUCAAUUUUAUAUUUUAAUACAUGCAAUAUUUUUAUUUUUUGUUUAAAUAUUUUUUUUCUUCAAAUUGAUCCAUAUAUCUACAUCCAUUAAAACAAUUCAAAAAUUAAGCUAUUAUUUAAUUAAUUAUAAAAAUAAUCCAUUUAAAUAAGUUAGAUUUAUAUUCAAUAAUACUCAGCAAAUUUUGUACUUAUUCUCUAAAAUAUAUUAUAACUCAUGCAUGUGUUUUUAUUUUUUUUUGUUUAAUUAGUUAUUUUUAUUUUUCAUUCUAUUUUAUAUAUCUGUAUCCAUUCAAAUGAAAUAUUAAAAUAUGUUUUGAAUUAGUUAUGUUUAUUGAAUUAUAAAAAUUUAAUAUGUGACAAAUAAGUUAAUGUUGAUGAAUAUGAUAUUCGAUAAAAGUUUUUAUUUGUUUCUAAUAUAUAUAUUACAAGAAAAUUAUGUAUUUUUAUUUUCUUUUUUAAUUAAAACUAAUAUUUUAUUUUAUAUAUUUAACUUACAUUUUUGAUGUCUUGCAUUUUUACAUCUUUUAAGCAUUCAUUUUCAUCACGUUCUAGCUCAUUUAGAUUUCAUUUAGUAUUAUAGAGUGCAUUUGCAUGUUCAUUUGUAUGUUUUCAGGUUUUGGAGGAGAUUAAGCCACAAAAGGUUGAAAUAUCAACAUGGAUGAAGGUCUUAAAUAUAUUCUUUGAAGCUCAUCUUUUUCGAGGACAUAUGAAAUAGAGUUAGCUUUCUAAUGGAGGUAGUUUCAAGUAAUUUGGAGCUGUAUUGAAGAAGUUAUAACCGAUUUACUGGAAUCAUAUCAAUCAUACUGCAAAGAUAGGAUGGACCGCGGUGGAGGCCACGGAUUGAAGCCGUCCGCGGAUUUGGGCCAGUGAGGUCGAUUAAAGAAGCCAUGGGCCGCGGGUGGAGGCCGCGGGAUGAAGCUGUCCGCGGAUUCGAGGCAGUAAUGUCGAGUUUGGUGUAGACGGACUGCGGACACAGACUGCGGACUGGUGCCGUCCGCAGAUUUAAACCCGAGAGGUCAUUGUUGGAGUGGAUUGACCGCGGACCACAGCCGCAGACCGAAACCGUCCGCGGUCGAUAUAAAAACCAACUUACCCAUUUUUUAUUGGGUCAAACCCGUGUUUGUUGGGUCGGACCGGUUCGAGUUUUAAGCUAUUAUAAAUACAUUUUAGACCUAAUAUUAGGACUUACCUCAUUUUCUGUCAAGACUUUGUCUAAACGUGUAAAAACUUGAAUCUUUUGAUAAUCUAAGGAAGUACUUCAUCUUAUAUUUGUGUUUCUCUUGAUCAUUAACAUGAUUAGCCUUGAUCCUUACAUGGGUUUAAGGUGUCUCAUGGAGAUUAGUGAGUAGUGACCUUGUGAUUCAUGGAUUAGAUAGAUUAGGGUGAUUAAGUGGAUAUUUAGGAUGUUUAUUGCUUGAUUAACAAUGUUCUAUGCUUGCUAAGUGUUAUUAAUGCUAGAUUAGACUUGAUAACUCUCAUCUAGACCUUAAGUUAUUUUACGCCCAUAAAGUGUUUGUUAAAAUGCUUGACUGAGCUUAGCAUUGUCUUUUACAUAUUUGGCCAACGGCAAUUGAUGUCCGAUAUGUUUAAGUGGAUAGUAGACUUGUGAUUUAUGCAUGCUUGAAUGUGUUAGCCAACGGGAGUUGAUGUUUGAUGCAUGACUAGCAUAGGGAUUAUUAUCACGGAAGUGAAUUAAUCUAUUGUGAAUGAGAUCUAGACCUAUAGACUUGUUUAUUGUUUUGUUUGAACAUUCUAGAUUGAACCUUUAUCACCUUAUAUCAAUUAUAUUUGCCCAUGAAUCCAUCCUUAGCAUUUGAUUGAAUUCUUGCACUUAUUUCUUGAUUGGAUUUGAGAUCACCUUGUUUAUAUUUCUAGGAUAUUAGCUUGUUACAAAUCAUCCAUCUUCUUGUUUGCUUAGAUUAGUAAAGUUUGUGUAUUCUUGGUGUUAUAGAUCACUAGUUCCUUGUGGAUUCGAUCCUAAAAUGCUACAAUGACAUACCAUUCGAUUGUGGUAUUAUUGGCACAUUAGGUUAAUUGGUGUGUGCUUAAACGCAGUAAUCAAUUUGGCGCCGUUGCCGAGAAACUAAGUAGAUUUGUCAUCAGGAUUUCAAACUUUCUUGAGACUAAGCUUUAUUUUCUUAUGUUUUAUUUUGCUUUGUUUGGUUACUAAUUCCCUUUCAAGUGAUUGUUCUUUUGCAAGGUACAUCCAGAGAGGAAGAUCAUAUCUCUCGACUUGGAAUCAAUUCUCAAAGCUAUUUUAGAGAGUCAAGAAAAGAUGAUAUCUAAAAGCUCCACAUCUUGUGAAAGAGCUUAUGAACCAACCACCUCAUUGGAGUAUCAACCGCAUGAAAACCUUGGUCAAGGCAACCAAUAUAGAUAUGGUGAGAGACACCAACACUAUAUUUAUAACUUAUUUAUAAUAAGUUGUAUUUGUUCAGAUAUUUAAUUUUUAUCAAAAAUUUCAACAUGUAUUUAAUUAUAAUAAUUUAUUAAAUUCUUGAUCUGCAUUUUUUUGCUUGAUCUGUAUUUGUUCUGUUUGAUUUGCAUUUUUGUUUGAUCUGCGUUUUUUGAUAUGUGUUACCCAUUUGAAGCAGUGAGAGAUUCCUUAUAAGACAAUCUCCAUAAAUAACCUUAUUUUAAAGUUUGAAAGAAUUUUAAAUUUAAUGUUUGAUGACGUUUCUUUCCAAAAGAAAAACCUUAUAUUAAACCUUAAUUUUUAUAAUUUAUAUUUUGGUACUUACUAUUGAUAUAAAUUAGUUACAAUCAUCCAAAUUUUAUAGAUAAAUGUAAAAUCUACAACUGAAUAUUUUUUAUAAAAUAUACUGUUAUGGAUUUAUUCAAUCUGAACAUAGAAUAAUAAUAUAAUGCAUUCAUAAAUAAUGACUUUCAAUUAAGUCAAAUUAUAUGGGUUGUUUUGGAGAUUUUGUAAUUUUAAAUCAAAUUUACAUAAAUUUUAGUAGUAUUUUAUUUUUUUUACUUUAUAUAUGACAGUUAAAUUAUAGAAUAUAUCUAAAAUUUUAUUAUAUAUAAUAUUUUAGGGAUUAAAAUGAUAAAAGAAAAAAGUUAAUACGAUUAUUCGAAAAACAUAAGUGUAAAAAAGAUUAAAGUAAGAAACCUUAAAUAUAAGAUUUUAAACAGUGAAACCUUAUAUUUAUAGUUUUACAGUUUAAAACCUUAAAAUUUAAAGUUUUUUUCGCUUUUAAAAUGUGCAAAAUUUUAUUUUUGAAAUUUUGAGGUUGUUUUUUGGAAAGCUCUAAUAACCCCACCAAUGCAAAUGCUCUUAUAACCAGUUAAGGAUCGUUAAUUACUAACAUUUUUCCGAACUAUGAUCAAGACAGUUAACGACCUAAUUAUUUGAAUCAAAUUGUUGAUAAAGAUUUGUCGUGUGAUUGUUUUUUUUUGGUGUAAGAUUGUAUGAUUGUUUAUAAUAUAUUUAAGUUCUAAAAGAUAAAGUUACGUAUGCUUUUUUGACAGAAAAAAAUACGUAUGCUUUUCUUGACAAAAAUAUUUACGUAUGCUUUCUUUUCUUCAUAAACAAAAGGUAUACACGAUGAAUACGUGUUUUUUAUAUGUGAGAAUUAUUGACUAAAGUAUAACAUGAAGGAUACAGUUGAGCGGCUGGUUUGACUUUCAUAUGGUUGACCUAUCAUUGGAGCCGUAAACGAAGAAAAAAGGAAAAAGGGAAUUUGAGAUGGAUUCUUCUUAUACAGUAACAAACUGAUAAGAAUAUUAUUUAGAAAUUCACAAAACAAAAUUAUAAACUAGCACAAAAAUGUAUUAGAAACCUUUUUAUAAAGAGAUUAUUUAAGUUUUAGUUCCAGCAAAAAAAUGAUUAAUGCAUUUUGUAUCAGCACGUUUUUUUUUUUGCCGUACGAAAGCAAAAGAUGAUUGACGAAAGCACUUGGGUUAGAAGGAGAAGUGCCAAUCUGACACAAGUUACAUUUUUUCAACUAAAAUAAUCAUAAACAUAGUUUAGCAAAAAAAAAAAUAAUCAUAAACAUGAAAAGAGAUUAGUGCGUCUAGUCAUCUUUUAUCUCUAAUCGCGAAACACGUAAAAUAAAACUGAUUAACGCACGUAAACAAGAUGAUGCCAUGCACGCAUCAUGGUGUCGUAAUCACAUUAGCAGAUUUGCUCCAAAGUUGAUUUUACCAUUUUAAGCAAAAUGCAGUAAUCAUUAUGAUUGUCUGGCCAAUGAAGCGGCUCAAGCCCGAUAUGCACCAAGAACAGCACAACGAAUGUAGUCUUUGUGGCUUUUCUUUUCGCCGAGUAGGUCCAUGCAUUAAUUAGGCUAACUAAGGUCAAAUGACUAUUCUAGGCUUCUUUUUCCGUCGAACAUAAGAAAAUUAUUUACAUCGUCCUUCAAAUUUAAUAUUUAUGGAUCACCCAAAUUUAGUUUUGUUUAAUCCGAUUCUGUAAGUAUGAAAAGUAUGCACGAAUUUGAUGGUAAAUUAUUUGAAAGAUGUUUUAUUAAAAAAAAAAUUAAAAAAAGGAUUACAGAGGAGAUGAUUGAACUCUACGAGUUUAAGUUAAACUAGAUUUCCACCCGCACAACCGUGCGGGUAUAUAUUUUCACAUUUAUAUAUAUAGAUAAUUGUUUUACAUAAUCAGUAUAUAUUUUUAAUGUUACUCACAUAUUUAAAUUUUUGUAUAAUUAUGCCAAAAAUAAUAAUUUUAUAGUUUUCAUGCUGUAAAUUAAAAUCAUCACAUAUAUAUGUUGCUUAUUAUAUAUUUGUCUUAUUGAAUUUGCGUUUGAUUACUAAACUAAAUUUUUUAAUGCAUGAAACAACAUAUAUAAAGACAAUUUUGUAUUUAAUUUAUUAUAAUCAUGAUCCGUAAUUCAAAUCGCUAGAUUUUUUUAGUAAUUUUUUAAUGUUUAUUAAUUUUAUUUAAUAAAUUACUGUAUAUUAAAAAGUUUAAGAUAAGUUAAAUUUUUAUAAAUGUAUUAUAUAGUUUACUAAUAUUAACCCGUUCUACCAACAUAUUAUAUUUUUAGCAUAAAUAUUUUAUAUUUAUGAAAAUAAAAUAUGUUAACUUAUCAAUUUAAAAUAAUUUUAUCAUAUUUUGUUCAAUAUAACAUUUUUAUUUUAAAAUGAUAGAUAUUAUUAUAAAAUUGAUAAAAUAGGAUAUAAUUUUAUUCUUUUAGUAACAUUUCAUUACUAAUUACAAAAUUAGUUGAAAAUAUUUAUAUUCAAUUUAUGACAAUUAAGAUCUUAUUAUAAUCUUUUUCAAGAGAUUUGUUAGAAUUUUAAUUUUUUUUUUAAAAAAAUUAAAAGAUAUAAAAGAUAUUAUGAUUAAAGUAGUUAAAAAUAUUAUGUAUAUUAGCAUUAGUGAUAUACAUUUAAUAUAAAAUUUAAAUGAUGGUCCAAAUAAAAAUAUCACUCAUCUAAAAAUCAUGAUUUUUAUUUUAUUAGAAAACAAAUUUGAAAAAAUUAAAAUAAAUAUAAAUAUUUAUUUCUAACAAAAUCUUUAAAAAUUAUUAGUAAAUGUAUUUGUGAAAUUAAUUAAUUUUAUUUUAUUUAAAUUUUCGUUUAUAAAUCAAAAAUAUAUUCAAUUUUAAUUUCUAAUUAUAUUUUAUGAUAAUUUAAAUUAAAACUAACUAAUUUUUGAAAGUAAAUUUAAAAAGAUUCUAAGAAGAUUUUUAAAAGAUUUUGUUAGAACAUUUUAAAUAUAUUCAUUUGUAUUUCAAAUAAAAAGAUAAUGAUGAUAAAAAAUAUAAUAGUGAACUUAUGUAAAAUAUGAUAUUUUUUAGGAAUGGUCCAAACUAAAAAAAAUCACACAUGAAAAGAAGUCAUGACUUCUGUUUUAAUAUAUAAGAUGGACGAGAACAUAAAUCAAAAGGUAAAUUCUAGUUUUUUUUACUUAAGUAUAUUUUUCUUGAUUCUUUAUUAGAUUUUAGGUUCUAUUUUUUAAAAACAACCUCAGCAACUUUUGCAACUGAUCAAGUAACUGACCGCAUUAAAAAUUAAAGAAGCAAUAUUUGCAAUACAUCCGGAUAAAGCCCUUAACCUGAUAGUUUUCUAGCCAGUUUUUUUUCAAGUUAACUGAGAUAUAGUAGGACCAGACGUUGUGAAGGAGAUCAGAAUGUUCUUCGAGACAGGAAUCCUUAAACCAUCACAAAAUGUAACAAAUGUUAGACUUAUUCCCAAGAUUAUAGGUGCAAAGAGGGUGGCUGACUAUCGUCCUAUUUCUCUAUGCAAUGUGUAUUUCAAGAUUAUCUCUAAAUUACUGGCACUCAUACUGAAACCAACUCUACGCAAGAUUAUUUCAGAGAACCAGUCAACAUUUAUACUGGGAAAGACACAAUGGCAGUCAAAACUGAUAUGUCUAAAGCAUAUGAUAUAGUGGAAUGGAGAUUUAUCUCACAAGUGCUUCAGAGACUAGGUUUUCACGAGAAAUGGGUUAAGUUGAUCAUAGAAUGUGUGACUACAAUUUCUUAUUCUUAUUUGAUCAACGAUUCAGUUCAGGGUUCGGUCAUACCUAACAUGGGGAUAAGACAUGUGAUGAGCCCCAGUCCAUGGAUCAGUACAUGGAACUAGCUCAGCAUGGAGAUCAGGACGUUCUGAACAAUUCAACCGAGGUUCGCCCAUCCGACCGUACCAAUCAGACAAACCAAGCCGUGUACCGGAUCGACCCAUGCUUCGUCCGGAAUGGAGUUUCGGCUGGAACCACGAUCAGACCACCGAACUGACCGUACCACAGCUCGUCUUUCCCGACCAUCUCGACAUUCUAAGGACAAUAGUCGAGCCAGACUUAAGUUGGGUCGUUAAGAACCCAAAGACGGACAUGCAUUCUUACCCGGCGGACCAUCCGGACAGUCCCGCGUGCGUCCUUCUCCUUACCGCAUUGGACACAGCCAGUUCAGAUGAAACUGGAUAGUAGCCGAACGGUCAUCCUGACUGGUCUUCAUCAGAUUCCGCACUUUUGACUCAUUUAUCAUUUUCUAGGUAAUGUUUUCAUUUUCUAUGUCUUGUUUUCUCCAUAAUUCUUUUUGUUAGUCUUUGACCACAAGUACUAUAAAUAUGUAAUCUCAUUCUAUGAAUAAAUCAGUCUAUGUUUAAGUUUAUUUUUGUUUUCUUAUUUUUUCUGAGUGAGAGAGAGAGAGAGAUAGAGUUCUUUAGCUAGUUCAUUGGUGUGAACCGGCUUGCUGAUUUGGUGGUCAUCCAGUUCAUCUUUGUGUGUUGUUUGGUGGUUAGCCAACGCACUACAUUCUUUCUUAGGUGGUUAGCCUUAGAUCGUGAGUGUAUCAAGAACCAUUCCGCAUCUCUUGACGAUCCUUUCAAUCCUUCGCAGUUUCAGAAGGGCCAUUUGCCUUCUCGGAUCAUAUCCAACAUCCAGUUAAAGUGAUCCUCCAAUUCAUGGCGUAUCAAGUGGUACCUGAGCCACUUUGGCUGGUUUGUUUUCAUUUCAUCAUUUCAUUCUCAUCUCUCCACAAAUUUCUUUUAUUAUUUCUUGUUGGAUCCGGGCUGUACAUUUACUCUCUUGUGAUUGCCCUUAAAAAAACGAUAAAAAAAAGAGUAAACAUUUUUGGCUUGAAUCACUUCUGAAGAGAAAUCGUGGGGGAGUGGUGGAAAAGAAACCUUGCUGGCUGAAGAGAAACCCAGCCUUAGGACAGUUAAAGCGGAUCCACAUAUAAAUAUUUUCAUCUUUCUUUCUCUUUACCCUUAAAAGUUGUUUUGGGUUUUGAUUACUGAAUUUUUACUGCCUAUCAUAUUUGAACCAGUGAAAAGAAUUCUGAGUGAUUACCUAAAAAACGUGAGCUAAAUACUUUGAGAGUGUAAGGAUUUUUAUUUGCUAACUCUUUUGUUAAGUGUUUUCAGAAUGUUUGGGCUUCACAAGAAAUCAAAUCAGGCUUCAAAACUACAACAAGAUGUUUAUUAUCCUUUUAAAACCGUGCUUGAAAAAAAACAAUUGAUUUUUGGGGAUAAGAAACAUUUUUCUUCUAUUGGGUUUGAUUUUGUGCAGAAACAAAGAAACCAAAGGAAGAGGCAAAACAAGUUCGAUGAUGAUGAGAAGAUGGUCAGAAAUGGUGAUCGUCUCUUCAGCAAAACCAAGAGGAGCAACUGUGACGUUCUUGAUCGGAACGAGCUUCAGACUUAUGCCAGUUUGGAGAAGAUGUUGCAUAAGGCAAUUUUCGCUAUUCAGAAACUCAAAAAGAAGGGAAACACCGACACUUCUUCUGCACCAAAACAACAAUGUAAGUUUUCUCCUCUUUCAAAUUCUGAUUUGAAAACUAAUGUGUUUUCUUUUGAUAAAAGCAAAGCUGUGAAACCCACAAGCAAAACUCAUUCUACCAUGUGCUUCAAAUGCCAUAGGAUCGGUCAUUAUGCUAACAAGUGCCAAAACCAUUGGUGACUUUGGAGAAUGAGAACGUUGAAACCGAGCCAGAAAAGGAAGGUCUAUUGCCAAUUUUUGAUGACUGUGCACAUAAGCCGAUGGCAGGUAGCUCUGAAUUGAUUUUUCAGUUUGAAAAGAAUUCUAAAAAGGUUUUGAACAAGAAUGAAUUUUCUGGUCCUUUGAAUGCUUUUGAUAUUGGCGCAUAUAUGACCUUGGUCUUGGAAGCUUUGUGUCAAUACAUGAAGGGUCAGAUGAAGAACAAAACUGUGGUCAUCAAGCAAACCAAGACAGAUUUUCUUCCAUUCAAAAGCUGGACCAAACUCAAGGUGAGCAAUGUUCUGAUUAUGAUUCUUUUGCUUAUAACCCUUUUCCUUUUAAUGUUCCAUCUUUUUGAAGAGGGAGUAAAUGAUGCGCCCCAGUCCAUGGAACCAGCUCGGCAUGGAGAUCAGGACGUUUUGAAUGAUUCAACCGAGGUUCGUCCAUCCGACAGUACCAAUCAGACUAACCGAGCCGUGUACCGGAUCGACCUGCAUUCGUCCAAGAUGGAGUUUCGGCUGAAACCACGAUCAGACGACCAAACUGACCGUACAACAACUCGGUUUUCCCGACCACCCGACAUUUUAAGGACAAUAGUCGAGCCAGACUUAAGUUGGAUCGUGAAGAACCCAAAGACAGACAUGCAUUCUCACCCGGCGAACCAUCCGGACAGUCCCGCAUGCGCCCUUCUCCUUACCGCAUUGGACACAACCAGUUCGGAUGAACCUAGACAGUAGCUGAACGGUCAUCUUGACUGGUCUUCAUCAGAUUACGUACCUUUGACUCAUAUAUCAUUUUUUAGUCAAUGUUUUCAUUUUCUAUCUCUUGUUUUCUCUACAAUUAAUUUAUUAGUCUUUGACCACAAGUACUAUAAAUAUGCAAUCCCAUUCUAUGAAUAAAUCAGUCUAAGUUUGAGUUUAUUUUUAUUUUCUUCUUUUCUCUGAGUGAGAGAGAGAGAGAGAGUUCAUUGGUGUGAACCGGCUUGUUGAUUUGGUGGUCAACCAAUUCAUCUUUGUGUGUUGUUUUGUGGUUAGCCAACUCACUACAUUCUUUCUUAGGUGUUUAGCCUUAGAUCGUGGGUAUAUCAAGAGCCAUUCCACAUCUCUUGACAAUCCUUUCAAUCCUUCUCAGUUCUAGAAGUGCCAUUAGCCUUCUCGGAUCAUAUCCAACACCCAACUAAAAUGAUCCUCCAAUUCAGGGCGUAUCAACAUGGAGAUCUCAUGUUCCCGUAUCACUUCAUCAUAUGCGGUCAAGUUCUAUAUGGUAUAUGUUUAAAAACCGAAAGAGAAAGUAACUUGCAAGGCAUUGAAGUCGCGAGAGGAUGCCCAAAGGUGAGUCAUCUGCUGUUUACAGAUGACAUCAUGUUCUUCUGUCAAACAUCCCCAACUAGCUGCAAUAAACUGAAGGAUAUCUUAUGGGAAUACGAACAAGCUUCGGAUCAAAAGAUCAAUACUGACAAAUCUUCCAUCUUCUUCUCAUCUAAGACCCCAACAGAAACAAGAGAAGUGGUCAAGAACACGCUGGGUAUUACAAAAGAAGGAGGACCAGACAAAUAUUUAGAAUUACCUGAGCAUUUUGGCCGAAGGAAGAAGUAUCUUUUUACGGCAAUUGUGGAUAGAAUUAAACAACGAGCCUCUAGUUGGUCUACAAGAUUUCUCUCCAAAGCAGGCAAGCUCACGAUGUUGAAGUCUGUCUUAACUGCAAUCCCAUCAUUCUCCAUGUCUUGUUUUGAAUUGCAUGCAAGUUUAUGAAAGCGCAUUCAAUCAGUUUUAACAAGAUUCUGGUGGGAUAAUCCGGAUGGGAAAAGGAAAAUGUCAUGGGGUGCAUGGGAUAAGCUAACUAAACCUAAAAAGUUGGGGGGGGCUCGGAUCAGAGAUAUUCAAAUUUUCAAUCAAGACCCUCUAUCUAAACAGGCGUGGCAAAUCCUAACAAAACCAGAUAGUUUGUUGGCUCCAAUUCUCCUAGGAAAAUACUGCCACACUAAACCAUUUUUUUAAGCUCAAGUACCAACGGUAUGAUCGCAUGGAUGGCGAAGUAUUCUAUAUGGAAGAGAUCUACUAAAAGGAAACCUAAGAAGGGCCAUAAGAAUUGGACAUACUACUAAAGUUUGUAAAGAUUCUCGGAUAUUGUUGAAUGAGAACCUGAAACCAUUUGGUCUUAUUUCAGAAGCUGCUAUGGAUCUUACAGUGUCUGAUCUACUAACUUCGGAUAUGCAAUGGAAUAAAAACAAGAUUGAGGCUCUUUUACCUCAAUUGGCAACGGAAAUCCAACUGCUACAGCCGAGUCUAUCAAAAGUGGAGGACAUCUUUGUUUGGCAGCCACUACUAUCGGGAGAAUACACAACUCGAUCUGGUUACUGCUCAGCAUCGAUGAAGCAGUCUUUUGCAAUAACUCCGUCUGACCAAGGAGCAUUCAACUGGAUAAAAGAUGUUUGGCCAGAGGUUUGUUCACCAAAAAUGAAGAUUUUCAUUUCGUCUAUCAUACAGAAGGCACUGCCUUUGGGAGAAAACCUACCACAGAGAGGUAUGAUUCCAGGAACACUUUGUAAACGAGGUAAUGAAGUGGAAACUGUAAUUCAUACCUUUUUCAGUGCUCCGAUGUAAUUCAUACUUUGUAAACGAUAAUUCAAAAUUGCAAUUCAUACUUUGUAAACAAUGUAAUGAAGUGGAAACAAUGUGUGGGUAGAAUGAUUAAAAUAUUUUUUAAUAUGUUGUAUCAAUAACUUUAAUGAAGUCAAGUACUUUUGGCAAAACAUGAACAUAUUUACCAUUCUUUUGAUUAACAUCUCUUAAAGUUUACAAAAUAAUUCACAACUAAAAUAUUACAUAUACAAAUCAUAAAAAGAUCAUAAACAAAAUUAUUACACAGCUAGAUAUUAUUCCUCAACAUAGAUAAGUUUGGACUUCACUUCACAUCAUCUCUUUGUACCACUUUGGACAGAAGACUUUGGAAGAAUUUCUGAAGACUUCGUGGGAAGUCUUCUGGCAUAAAAUACAUAAGAUUUCCCAAGAAGUCUUCCGAGAAUCUUUCGAGAGUUUUCCGAGAGUCUUCCGAGAAUUAUCCCAGAAGUCUUCCAAAAUCUGUCUCAGAUAUGAAAAACUGCAUAUUCAAAAGCUUUCAAAUGAGUUCAAAAUAGAGAAGACUUCAAAAAUAAAUUUUUAGAUCAUAAACAAAACAGUCACACUAGGUUGAAUCUAAAUUUUUUUAGAAUCUAAUAUAUAAAACACACAAAAUACAUAUCCAAAAUUUAUACCACUUUAGGCAAAAGACUUCGGAAGACUUCCUGAAGACUUCAUGGGAAGUCUUCUAGCAUAAAAUGCAUUAGAAGACUUUCUAAGAAGGCUUCGGAGAAGUUUUCCGAGAGUCUUCUGAGAGUCUUCCGAGAAGUCUUCUGAGAAGUCUUUCAAACUCUCUCAGAUCUGGAAAAACCUGCAAAUUCAAAAACAUUCAAAUAACUCAAAACAGAGAAAACUUCAAAAAUGAAAAUUUUAUGCUUACAAAAUAAACAAAACAGUCACACUAUGUUGAAUUUAUAGUUUUUUAGAAUCUAACAUAUAAACACACACAUAAAUUCAUAUCCAAAAUUUAGAGAUCUACCUUUGAAAGAGUGAGAGAUGAGAAUCAUGUAAUGAAAAAUAUGCAAAAAGAAGAUAAAUUAGUGAGAAGACAUAAGAAAAAGUGGGAAAUGGAUAUAAAGUUGAGAUUAGAGAGAUGUUGGAGAGUUUUAGAGUGAGAAACAUUACAUUUUUGUUGCAGUCAUUUGAGAGGAAGAAAGAGAAUGUGUAAAUUUUCUUUAUAUAUGGAGACAAAAAAUUCUAAUUAGGUUAAAUAUUUUCGACCCAUAAGACUUCUGGAAGACUUAUGGAAAACUCAUGGAAGAUUUAUGUAAGACUCAUUGAAGACUUAUGGAAGACUUUGAUUAGACGGAAAAUCUAAAUUAUUCCAAAAUUUAGGCGGGAACCCUAAAUUUUACUUAAAUUUAGACGGGAUGUUGCGGAAGACUUAUUUUUAAGUUUUUUGUGAGUCUUCUUAAACUUAAAAAAAAAUUAGAAAGUGUUUAAAUCAAGUUAUUAUAUUGUUAAACAUAUGUGGGUCAAUUUGAAAAAGAAAAAAAUGAAGGUAAAACUGAAUACAUGUUUUUUGUUUGUUCACAAGGGGGCUGUUGUAAUUUCACUAGGCUUUUGGGUUACUUUUGCAUUUGAUUGAAUUUGGAGUACACUUUUGUAUUCAAAAAAAAGUUAGUCACUUUUGAAAAAUCCCCCUUGUUAAAAACCAGUGUUUUGAAACCCGACCCGGACCCGCGGUUGAACCGGUAAACCCGAUGACCCAGAAAAAAUCCAGUUUGGGUUUUGUGAAAAACCUAAUAUUUAAAAACCCGAAAAAAUCUGCAAAAACCAAGUAAAACUCGAAACCCGAUACCGGUUGAACCACCGGUUAAACUAAUAAAUAACUUUUACUUUUUUUUUAGUUUUUAAUUAUGUUUUUAGAUUAUGUUUUAUAUUCUAAAUUUUCAAUUAAGAAAUUAGGUGCCGACAAAAAAAAGAAGUUAGGUUUUCGCUUUUCAAUUUUAUAUUUGUGAUUUUUAGAUUUUUAUGAAGAUUUCACUAUACCACUUGAAGAAAAUGAACUAAACGAUGGUAGAGAGAAGAAAAAUUAGUUGAUGUGAUUUGGUGUUAGUUUAUUUCCAUUACUGACAAUUUAUUAAAAUGAUUUUUUACUUUUGGUUUAUUUUGUAUUUGAAGUUUAAUUUAUUAUUCACAUUAGACAUUUAAAUAUUUAUAAAUUUUAUGUGUUGAUUUUUUUAGAUGUCACAACUCUUACCUUGUUAGAGAAAUUUUCAAUAGUCUAAACUAUUUUUUGAUAUUUUGUAUGUCAAAUGAAAAUAAAUAUAAAAACUAAAGUUAUGUAUUUUUUUAAAUGUUGUUAAACAUAAAAUAUAUAUGCAUAUCCAAACUGUUAUUUUAUGUUUUAAAAAACAUUUAAAAAUAUUAAAAUUUAGUUUUUAUAUUUUUAUUUACAUAGUUGAUAUAUUAUUAUAUAAUAACUUUAUUUAUUUAUUAACCCGCGGUUCACCCGCGGUCGACCCAGUGACCCAGCAACCCGGUAAGUCCUCCGGUUCAGUGUCCGGGUCGGGUUUAAAAACAUUGUUAAAAACCCAAUAUUUAGAAACCCGCAAAAACCCAUGGAAACCAGUAAAACCCGGAACCCGAUACCGGUUGAACCAAUUAAGUUUUACUUUUUUUUUAGUUUUUAACUAUGUUUUAUGUUCUAAGUUUCCAAUUAAGAAGUUAGGUGCUGAAAAAAAAGUUAGGUUUUCCCUUUUCAGUUUUAUAUUUGUAAUUUUUAGAUUUUGAUGAAAAAAUUGAAAUGAACGAUGAUAGAGAGAAUCAAAAUUAGUUGAUGUAAUUUGGUGUUAAUUUAUUUAUGUUACUCACAAUUUACUAUAAUGAUCUUUUACUUUUGGUUUAUUUUGGAUUUGUAGUUUAAUUUAUUAUUUACAUUAGACAUUUAAAUAUUUAUGAAUUUUUUGUCUUGAUUUUUUUAGAUCUCAUAAUUCUUAUCUUGUCACAGAAAAUUUUAAAUAGUCUAAACUAUUUUUUGAUAUAUUGUAUGUCAAAUAAAAAUAAAAACAUAAAAACUAAAAUUAAGUAUUUUCUAAAUGUUCUUAAACAUAAAAUAUAUACAUAUCCAAGCUAUUAUUUUAUGUUUUAAAGAACAUUUAGAAAAUAUUAAACUUUAGUUUUAUAUUUUUAUUUUUAUUUACAUAGUUAAUAUAUUAUUAUAUAAUAAAAUUAAUUUAUUUAUUAACCCGCGAUUGACCUAGUAACCCAACGACCCGGUAAAUUAUCCGGUUCAAUGUUCGGGUCGGGUUUAAAAACAUUGAUUAGUACAUAUCUAUAAGUUUGCCAAUGGUUAGAAUUUUCAACUAAAUGUCUCUUUCAUCGAACGAAAAAUAGGUGUUUAGAAGUUAUUUCUUUUCUAUUUGAUAACUAGCUGUGAUUAUCAUAAAGUCAUGACUCAGGAUGAGUAUUUAUUACUUUAAUCGCCUUUCGUGUUGUAUCUGCUAUCUUAUUCAUAUUUUCCUGCAACGUAUUUACUAGUUUUGAAUCAAUGUUUCUAAAACUGGGAGAUUUCAAAAAUAAAGAUGAUGUUUUCAACUUCGAGUGAGAGUAAUUCCACUUUCCCCUUCAAUUUUUUUUUCCGAGUUUUGGGGAUCAUGUACGUGUUGCUAUCCUGCAAAAAUGUCGAAGAUUAAAGAUAUACUAGAUUUUGACUCAUCCAAGCGUGAUAUUUAUUUUUUAAAACAAUUAAUUUAUAAGUAUUUUUUUCUGGUGAUUAUAAAUUACGUGUUUAUAGUUUGUAACUUAAUACAUUUAUUUUUGUGUCGACCUGGUUAGGAUAUACGGUAUAAUCGCUAAAUCCGAUGAUCUGUAUAUAGAUCACCACUAUUUAAAACCAGAUAAAAUUUGGUAAAAAUCCAAUGGUAUAUUAAAAACAUUAUAUUUAAUAAAUAAUUUAAUUUGUAAUUUUCAUUUUUUAUAUUUUUACUAUACCAUAAAAAUACCAAAUUUUUUGAUAGGUUUUCGUUAAUGAGGAUUUAUUAUAAAUAUAUCUUUUUAAUUUUAUUGGAAAAGAUGGCACCAAUAAAUGAUAGAAUUUUCGUUUAUUGGGAUAAAUCAGUAUUGUUUUGGUCACAAAAUUCAUGAGACACCGUUAGAGAAAAUAAUAUGUUAGUAUAUUAUAUUUAUAAAAACUAGUAUAAAAGAGAUAUAUAUGGCCCUGUUCGUUUGCUCACCCAGGUGAUCCAUCUGGGUGAAGAUGCAAAUUGAUGUUCGUUUAGUGCAUUAUAAUUCUACAUCCAGAUGGAUCACCCAGCUGAAUUUUUAAAAACUCAUCUCAAAUUCUCACCCAAAUGAAGGUGAGUCUUGAUGGUGCAUCUGGAUGCAGAUGCAUUUAGUUUAGUCCAAAAUGACAAAUGACAAAAAUGACCUUUUAAAAUCAAAAUAUUAUUUUCAAACCGUAAAUUCAAUUUUUUUGCAUAUACUUUUUUCCACUAUAACCAAAAAAUACAUUUUCUCGCAAAAACGGAAAAACACACUUUUCCGCCAAAACCGCAAGAUGCAUUUUUCCGCAAAAAAUAUAAAACACACAUGUUUCAUUAAAACACAUUUUUUCGGCUAAACCAGUAAAACCACAUUUUUCGACCAAAACCCAAAAAACGCAUAUUCCUACCAAAACCGGAAACAACGCAUUUUCUCGCCAAAACAAAAAAAAAACGCAUUUUUUCGCCAAAACCGAAAAACACAAUUUUCUCGCCAAAACCGAAAAAUGGAAUUUUCCUGCCAAAACUGAAAAACGGUAUUUUCCCACCAAAACCAGAAAACAGAAUUUUCCCACCAAAACCGGAAAAACGCAUUUUUCCACCAAAAUUGAAAAACACAAUUUUCCCGCCAAACAAAUAUAUUUUCCCGCCAAAACCGCAAAAAUAACUUUUCCCGCCAAAAUCGUGAAAAAAAAACUUUUCCCGUCAAAAACACUUUUUGCGCCAAAACUUCAAAACACACUUUUUCCGUCCAAACCGCAAAAACGUAUUUUUCUGCCAAACCUAUAAAACAUAUUUUUCCGCCAAAACCAUAAAAAUGCACUUUUUCGCGAAAACACACAUAUUUCCUCAAAAACCGCAAAAAUAUUUUCGGCCAAAACCGUAAAAAUGCUAUUUUUCCGUUGAAACGUAAAAAGUUAUAUUUUAGUCAUUUUAUUAACAAGUCCACCUGGAUGCAGAUGGAAGUUAAAAAAAUGAAAAACAAACGAAUAUAGUUGCAUUUAGAUGAUUCAUCUGGAUGCAUGAACGAAAUGAUGAAACGAACAACACCCAGAUGGAGCAUCUGGAUGAUACAUCUAGAUGGACCAUCUGGAUGCAUUUUCCAGAUGUACAAACGAACAGGGCCUAUGUAUAAGAAUUUGGUCUAAGAAAAAACAUCGUAUAGAUGACAAAAGUAGUAUAUCCCUUAUAUUAAUUGAGAAACAUUAAAACCUUUAAGUGUAGACACGUGUCAUCACCAGAACGAAAUUCAGAAUCUUUAGAAAAUAUGUUGGUCCAAUUAAGUAUAUAUUAUACUUUUCAUUAAACUAAUCAUAAAAUUAAUUAAAAUGUACACUCACUAUUUUAUUUUCUUUUCUUAAAUAAAAGAUACGGAAUUACCAAAUAUGACUAAUAUAUAUAUGAUAAUUAAUGAUUCUAAUAAUAAAGAUUUGAUAACCAUUUAUAUUUCAUCUAUCGUUUUUGUUUAAUUUUAUAUUAUUAAAAUAAAUUAAACAAUAAAAUUAGUUAUAAAAUUAAAAUAUAGAUUUUUCGUAUAUGUUAUAUUUUGAACUUAAAAAAACGACAAAAUUACUAAAACUGUUAAAAUUAUUAUGUUAAAAAUUAAUGAUCAAUGAUUUAACAUCCUCUAUAUAUUAAUAGAGAAACAUUUAAAAACUUUAGAACAUGUAGUUUGUAUUAAAUAAAAAAUAUCAUGCUGAGUUGUCACGUAAUUUGAAUGUUAAUUUUUUUAUGUGGUGGCUUAAAAAUCAAUUGAGAAUUUUGUCAAUCCAAAAUUAAAUUGAUAGAGAAUGUUAUAUUAUAUAGUAUUCUAUUAUAGACCAUUCAUUUAUCAAAUUGAAAUUUAUUAUAUAUUAUUUCCUUAAAUAAAACCUACGGAAUUACCUAAUGUAAUUAUGAAAUAUAUAGUAAUUGAUGAUUUUAAAUAAUGAAGAUUUGCUAAUAUUUUGUAUACUUUCUAUCAUAUUUAUUUAAUUCUUUAUUAUUAAAAUAAAUUACAUAAUUACUUUAAUCAUAUAUUAAAAUUUUAGAUUUUUUUGUAUAUGUUAUAUUUAGAUUUUUUUUUUCAAAACGAAUAUAAAUUACUAAAAUUGCUAAAAGUCUCACAUAAACUUUUGUGAUCAAUGUUUAAAUAUUUUUCUAUAAUAAGAUACAACGAUAAUAAAAUCAUCGAAAUAAAUAAUUUUAUUUUAAUAGGUGUUUAUGUAUAUAUAUACUUCAUAUCAAUUAAUUUUAAUUAUAUAUCAUAUACGAUAGAUAAGAUUGAUUAUUUUGAUUUAUUUAUCAUAAAAUGAUUGCGAAUAAACAAGAGCAGUCAUUUGAUUUAUAUGUGCAAGCCAAUUUAUUACAUAAUAGUAACUGAUUUUUUGGUUAUUUAAUAUAUAAAUAUUAUGUAUUCUGCACAAGACGCAUAUCUUAACCUAAGUAUGUAUCUCUUUAAUAAUUUUAAAUCUUAAACAUUUUAUAAAUCUCAGGCCAAAAUAAAAGAAAGAAAUGAGAAUAAACUCAAAAAUCAAUAUUUAUAUCGAGCAAUAACCAAAAUGAUAAAAAAAAGAAAACAAUAUCAAAGAUAAAUAUGAUUGGCACGUGAACGUAAACUUCUCAUAACCAUAAUUAACUUUUAAAUUGCUAAAUCAUGAUAUAAAACCUAGCUGACAUAGUUUCAUUGUAACCAAAUAGUAGGCAUGAGAUUCUUCGACCUAAACGUUAGAUUUUUAAACGAUAAAUAAUUUUUGACCUAAUAUAUUUUUUUAAAUGGGAUCAGUUCAUUAGUAAACAAAUGAUGUAAUUAACAAAUUAAAAAAAAACAUGUUUAAGGGCCAAAAAUUUUAAUUCGAUCAAUAAUAUAAAUUUUAUUUUCUAUACGAUAUUUCUUAAAUAAUUUUCAUAUAAAUUUAUACCAUGUGCAAAGCGCAUGUCUUAUCCUAGCGUAUAGUUAAAAAGCAUUAAAUAUUGUUAAUAUAGUUAGAAAAAUACCAGGAAAUAUUAGGUAGGAUCAAUAAACUAAUUGGUUAAUAAAUAGGUUCAAUAACCUUUGUACGUAGGUUUAAGGAUGAUUCUCUUUUGACAGUAUAAAACUUCUUGUCUGUAAAACUUCUCAGGACAACCAAAUGUUAUGAUCCAAUAUCAGAAUUAUUGUUAUACCUCCAAACAAUCCAUUUUUUUUGGUGCACAAAUCUUAUAAUAUACCUAAAGUUUUAACCAAAUAGUAGAAGUUCCCUUAGUCGAGUGGUUUGACUAAGAGUUCAUUAUUGCUUCUACACUAGGAGAUCGAGGGUUCAAACCCCAUAAAACGCAAAUUAUGCAGAUUAUAGAGAAAAAUUGUUACAAGAAGUUUUCAGUAUGGUGCAAGGACGUAUCAUCGAAUAUGGGAUCUCACAGGGCGGCUGAAGCGAUGCAGUCAGACGUGCAUUCUCAUAUAAUGGUAGAAUUGUCGGCUGUAGAAUCGUCUAUGUAAUAUUUCUCAUCGUUGUAAUAGUAUAAUUAAUCAGACGUUAAAACAAAUUAACCAAAUAACAUAAACGAGGAUGACGACAGUUAACAGUUAGUGGGCCAUUUUAUCACUGAAACCCAUAUACUCGUUUGAACAUAAUCCCCCUAUAUAUUAAAAGAGAAGUCACUUUAGUGAUUUCUGGUGACGUGUCGCUCAUAUGUGAAGUUUCAAUUUAAUUGUUAUAAUUUGAUUGGUCGAUUGUUCUUAAUUUUUAUUUACUUAAUUUAGAUCUAAAAAUUUAAGGUAAGUCUAAAAUCAUUUAACACCACUUGCCAUAUAAUCUAAACAAUAUUACAAAUAACAAUUUAUGGAAACUAAUUCUCGAAAUUAUAGAAAGAUUAAUAAUGUUUCAUUUAUCACUUUCAAUAUUUAUAAACUAUAAAAUAUAAUGAACGAAAUUUUAUAUAAGAUAAUUAUAAUAGUUUUAUACUCUACUUGAUGAAUUGUAUUCGAAUAUAAUUAUAUAAUAACUAUUUUAAAUAUAACAAAAUCCAAACAUGUUUAUUAAUAUUAUUUUGACUUCCCCUGUCAAGCAAAUGAAUGUCAAAACACAGUUUCAAACGAGAUAAUCUAAGCAGAAUAAUAAGUGUAUAAAUCUCAGGAACAAUGCUUAAAAGUUUCAUACCUUCAAUGUGACCGAAGGUUGUGUUGAUAGCUGCAAGCCAUUUCUCCCUUUCACCAUUUAUCUUAUCAAGAAGCAUUCUUAGAUUCUGCUCCUCCGUAAAUUUGGCUUCAUGAGCUCUGCCUUCAGCGUCAGCCAUGGCUUUGACAUGAAUUGUUUCUCGCUCAAGUUCAGCUCUCUCUUUCUCAGUCUGGCGCCGCUGUGCUUGAAUUUGUUCUUCCGUGGCGAUCCUUGCUUGCUCUUUCCGGAUAGAAGACUCCUCUUGCAUCUUAACCAACUCCACAUUAUGCCCUCUGAGCUUCAUGAUCCGUCUAAUUUCCAAGUCAAAGACUUGCUAGUAAAAAUACAAUCUUUAAACUCUUAAACAGAGGUUCAUUGUUUUCAUUCUUACCUGCAGUCGCUUUCUCGCAAACUCAUCUUCAUACCGAAGGUUUUGAGCUUUUGCUAGACCCACUACAAGAAAAUCGAAUAUGAAUAGCGUCAGAAAAACGCUAUGUUACAAUACAAUAGCAUUAUUAGGUACGCUGUAUCAUCGGUUGCGAUAAUAGGUCGAGCACAUUAGAUAGCUGUUUCUUGCUACUUUUUAUGAUUAAUAUAGCAUUUUCUGUAGAGCAAUUUUUCUAAAUAUAUCAUUUUCAAUUUUUGGUCACAAAAAUAUAUCACAAGGAGGAAAAUAACCAAAAUGUUUUAUUUAAUAGGUAAAAGGACUCUAACACCCUAGAUAUAUAUAAAAUAAAAUAAAAAUAAAUUAAAAAAAAAUUUGUUAUAGUUUUAGAUUAUAUGUUUUCAAAUUCGAACUUUUUUAUAAAAUUAUUUUUUCUUAAUUUUUUUUUGAAAUUUUAUUUUUGUAACUCAAAAAUAAUUUUUGAAACUAUUUUUAAAUUUUUUAUUUUUAAUAUUUAUUUUUUAUUUUAUAAAAUUUUAAAUCUCAAUCUCAAAUCUCCACCCUUAACUUAAAACCCUAAGGUUUGAAUUACUUAACUUUAGGGAUAUAAGUGUAUAUUUAAUUAUUUAAUGAAACAUUUUGUUCAUUUCAAUCUUUAGAGUCUAUAUUUGUCAUUUAUGAUAGAAACUUUUUUAGUGAUAUCAUACGGUAAUUCUCUUAUUUGUAUGCCAUUAAAUAUUAUUUAAUAUCAUUUUUUGUUAUUAUUUAUUUUAAAAUUAUUAAUUUUAUACUAUUUACUUUUUGUUAAUUAUUAUUAAAAAAACAUAAAUUAAAAAUUUAUUUAUAACUAAAUCGGUUUAUAAAUUGGUAUUUCUUUACGAAUUGAAAUUUGGAUACAUGGUUUACAAUUAAAAAUUGGUUACAAUUACAAAUUGGUUUAUUAACUAAACCAAUUGAUUAAACCUAAUUCAGCUGUCAAACCAAGCUCUUCUUAAGCUACGCCGUCAACCAUCCCCGCUUCAGUACCAUCUUCGACACUGCUGCUCUUCUUCGCCGACGCCGCUGCUCUGUCUACUCCGACGUCUGAUAAGUCUCGAGGACGACGAGCUCGGCUCCGACCGCGCUGCUCUGUCUUCUCCGAUGCCGCUGCUCUGUCUUCUCUAACGUCUGACGUGAGUCUCGAGAACGACGAGCUCGGCUCCGACCCCGCUGCUCUGUCUUCUCCUGCUGCUCUGUCUUCUCCGACCGUCUGACGUGAGUCUCGAGGAUGACAAGCUCGGAGAGUUUAUGGAGAUCCUGAGGGAGAGUGUUGCGGAUCCCUUUCUGUCUGAGCUGGAUCCUCGUGACGCAGCUGCUCCUGUCGCAUUGGAGGGUGUCUCAUUCGCAAGGGUUGGGGUUCGACCAGCCCAUGUCUGAGCAAAAUUGAAUAAGGAGAGGAGGAGACAGAGGAGGAGGAGAAGAGAUCUGUAACCUUCGUAAUUUUUUUUCUCAUUACGGUUGAGUGAAACUGACGUGGACUUACAAAAUAAAUAGAUUGGUUCCUCAACUUUUUUCAUUUGAUGACAUGUUAAUCCUACAGCUAUUUUGAAAGCUGAGGUGUCAUGCUUUGGAGAGAAACAAGCCUAAUUAUUGUGUUGAUUUGUCAAAAAAAAAUGGUAAAUAAAAUUCAACACUUUUGGAAGAUGUGUUUGAUUUCUAUUAGCCAAUUAAAAUCAUUAUUAAGCAGAGCAGGAGGCUUUUUACUCGAGUCUGCUCUAUCUGUCUGCUCUAAACGCGCCGUCUCUGUGAGAUAACAAGUUAAGUCCCACAGCGGAUAUUAGACAAAAGAAAGUCUAAUAUAUAAAGAGAUGUCCAACUCUAAUGUCUAAUGUCUUUUGGGAAGGAAAACAAAAGUAAAUCCAUGCGGGCUAGCCAAUUAGAUCCAAAGUGGACAAUAUCGUACUAAUCGGACAAUAUAGAGUUGGACAUGGGAUUUCACAAUUCCAACAAUUGGUAUCAGAGCGGUUUGACGAAAAUCUGUAAGAAGACCAAAAUACCCUUCGAAUAGGAACGGGACCCAUCGAGUUAGGAUUGGAAGGUGUGUGUGGCAGAGAUCAAGUCAAAAGAUCCUGAAAGUCAGUUGUUGGAGACGAGAUGAAUGUGAUCCUUAGUUUGAAGGGGAGAAUGUGAUAUAACAAAAUAAGUCUCACAUUGGAGAAUUAGAAAAAGGAGAGUCUAAUAUAUAAAGAGAUGUCCAACUCUAAAUAGUACGAGACCUUUUGGGAAGGAAACCAAAAGUAAAUCUAUGCAGACUUGUUUCUUAGGCCCAAAGUGGACAAUAUUGUACUAAUCGGAGAAUAUAGAGUUGGACAUAGUAUUUCACAAUCCCAACAAAUUUUUCUUUUCCACAAAUUUAAGGGCCUAUUUAUAUGUAAACUUUUUCCAAAAUUUUAAAGCUUUUGGUUAUAUUGAUUUGCUCACAAAAUUAUUCAUCACAAUAUGAAACUUUACAAAAAUACAGUUUGUCAUGUCCAUAGUUUUGAGUCUCCAUAAAUAUAUUUUUUGGAAAGCCAUGCAGAUUUUGUAAGAUGCUUUCCAAUUUAAAUUGAAUAAAUACUGUUUGGCUAUUAAGUUUUAUUUAUAUUAAUGAACAGUUUAAUUGUACUUGGCGUAGUGGCCGCACACCUAGUUCGCUGGUUCGACAUUCGUUUGAUGCAAACUUUUUUUUUAUUUUUCGAAAUGGAUCAUAGGUUAGAAACACACUGGUUUUUUUGAAAGCCAUCCAGAUUUUGUAAGAUGCUUUCCAAUUGAUUAAAAACUGUUUAGAUAUUACGUUUUAUAUGCACAACUAUCUCUUUCUGUCGCUGAUGCUCAAUGUUGCAUGGGGGAAGCAAAAUCCAUAUGGUAUUCGUGAAAAAAUUACAAAGAAACACAAGCAUAAAGAACUCAUAAGAAUCAAACAUUGGAAGUUUAUUGAAACGCCCGCUCCUUCCCCAUUUCCAACCGGGGUUUCUGGGCGCGGAGUUGUGUUCCGUUUCUGGUCCCAUGAGUUUCAAGUGCGUUUCCUUUCUUACCAUCGACUCUUCCACUUAUAGUCCUGCAAAAGGGAGAGGGAAAAAGAGGGGUGAGUAUGAAUACUCAGUGAAGCGAUUCUAGACCAGUCUCUCCCAUUAGCCUCUAUACUGCUCAAUGCAAAACGAGAACCGACUAGUCACUACACCCAAUUCGUAACUAGCUAUUAAAGUUUCAUUUCACGAAAUCAAGCAAUGUAAUGAACUCAGUCAUCACUCAAUUCACAUAAAUCGGUUUAUUAUUUAAGACUCCAAUCCUUCUAGAACUCUAGGACCUACACAGCUCAAGCGGACCAACCCUCCCUUUUUCUUGCUGUGUUCCUGUGGGGCCGCCUGUCCUGGUACACUCGGCAUCCGGUUCCCUUGGAUGUAGUACAUACCCUUGCAGUGUAUUACGACCCCUUCCCGCCAAGACUCGGCUUGACUCAAUCUUACCGGCACCUCUAAUCUUACCCUGCCGUUUUUGAACGCUACGGCCGCCGCGUUUUCCCCUACUCCCCACCAGUCCCUCGGUGGUUCGUAUUUCAUUCAAUUACUUUCUCUUUACUCUCCACCAGUCUCUCGGUGGUUCGUAUUUCAUUCAAUUAACUUUCCUUUUUACUUUAUUUCCUUUUUUCUUAUCAUUUUCUUUUUCUUUAUCAUUUUCUUUUUUCUUUAACCUCUAAAUACUUUCUUACUUUCCUUUUUAGACGCCACCCGUUCUCGGUGUCACACUCAAUCCAUUUAACAAUCAUUCACGCAUAUCCUAUCAUUCAUCUAACCAGUCCGGUUAACUAUUCGCUUAUGAUCCUACGUUCAAUUCUUUCUAACCAUCCUAGCUCUCAAUCACAAACAACAGAUCUUCAACCAAUCAAUCAAUCAGUCAAUCAAUCAAUCAUCAUCACAACAAUUUAUUUAAAGUCCUAAAUCAGUAUGAGAGUUCUGAUGCAAUAUGAUCUAACAACCUAACAACAAACAGGAUCUACUCAAUCCUAAAUCCACAUUCAACAAUAUAGAAGAACAUGAAAGAGAUCUGGGUAGAACACCUCACGUUAGCCUAGAUCCGGAUCUGGAUCUGAAAAUAGGGGUAAGAGAAACGGGAUCUGAAAUCUACGACACCACGCGGCCACCACCACCACUCGCGGCUGCUUACAGCAAAGAGAGAGAGAGUCAGCCGGGAGAGAGAGAUCGUGAGGAGAGAGAGAGGAGAGAGAUGCGGCGAAGAGGGAGAAAAGAAAGAGAGGCAGCGCAGGGAGAGAGAAAGAUCAUCGACGGCUAGGGCUUCCGAUCUCCGAGAUUUCUCUGCAAAGCUUCGUUUCAAAGUUUCUGAUGGGAAACUAAGGGGUGGAGGCUGUGUAUUUAUAGAAGAAGGCAAAGAAACCCUAGGGUUUUAAUCUUAAUGGGCUGCAGAGAGGGCCUUUACUUUUAAACCACAAAAACAUUUUCCGCUAGAGUAGAACAAAAACCAUUCAAUCUUUUAGAGAUCCGAUGGAACAAUGUGCGCAACUGCUCUCUUGGUGCCUCUUGGUGCACAGCUGGUCUCUUGUUCACCUACAUGUUCAGUCUUAGUCUCCCUCUCAUUGCCCUAAUUUUUCGAUGUUUUAGCACCAAAAAAAAAUGUCAAUAAGAAACGCAGAUUCGACCAAAAAAGAAGUCUAGCUUCAAAUUUCAGCAAAAUUAUAAAAGUUUUGAGAUAUAUUAAGUAAAACUUGCGUUUGGUUCUACGGCAGAAGUAGAAGAGCUAUGUUUGUCUAGAGGAUUAUGGUAGGACACCUGCGUGACAACAACAAAAAAGAAGCACAUCCAGUGCAAAUCAGAGGAGAUAAGACAAGCAAAACUUAAAGGACGUGGGAGGAUAGUAGGAGAAAUGUAUCGAUACAAAUAUUAAGAAGCAGAGAGAUGCUUACUUCCUCUAAAUGUUCAUCACUACUGAAAUGAGUUGUGAGAUCUUCAAGGCUAAAGCCAGAAAAUUCGCACAUUUCGCAAGAAACGUAACCCAUUUCCCUUCACUUGUACUCAAGAGCCUCGUCUUUAUCAUCUGCAGAACCUGAAUUAGUUGUUGGGGAAAAAAAAAAACUGAUUCAAAAACAGAGUUGCUACAAGAGAAAAAGACUAGAUAUCACCAAAUCAAGUUUUUGUUCCCAAAAUAGCACUCAAGGCUCAAAGUCACAAAAAUAGGUUUUAUUAAAGAGAUAAAUAUACACUUAUACCCCUUGGGUUAAUUAAUCCAAACCUUAGGGUUCAGAGUUAAGGGGUGGAGUUUUGAAAUUAGGGCUUGAAAUUUUAUAAAAAAUAAAUACUAAAAUAAAAAAUAAAAAUUUUAAAAACAGUUUCAAAAAGUAUUUUUAAAUUAUAAAAAGAAAAUUUGAAAAAAAAUAAAAAAAAAAUUGAAAAAAAAUGUUUCAAAAAAAAUUAUAAAAAUUUCGAAUCUGAAAACAUAUAAUCUGAAACUAUAUAAAUUUUUUUUUUAUUUUUUUUAUUUUUAUUUUUUUUAUUUUUAUUUAUUUUUGUUUGUUUAUUUAAUUUUAAACCAAUGGUAUUAGGAAUAUUUUACUCUUUAAUGAAUGUCAUUUUUGUGACUUUCUCCUUCUAGUGCUAUUUUUACACUUGUACUCAAGAGCCUCGUCUUUAUCAUCUGCAGAACCUGAAUUAGUUGGGGAGAAAAAAAAACUGAUUCAAAAACAGAGUUGCUACAAUCAGAGAGUGAGAGAGAGAGAGAGAGAGGAAAACCACCUAGGAAGCUUUCCCAGAUCCAAUCUCUAGAAACGACUGAAAGGAAGGUUUUCCAGAGAUCUGCUGAAACGGGUUUUCGUCCAGGAUGUGCCACGAGAAUGGUGAAUCCCUCAUCGCAUAUGCGGAAAAGAGGUUCAGAUAACAUUUCCAGUGUAGUAUCACCACAGAUGAGCAUUAAAGUAGCCGGAGGUUUCACACUCAUUCUCCAGCCAAACAACUGAGACAGACAAUCUGUUUUGAGCAAAAAAGAAAUCAACGUUGAGAACCGUUACUUGUAAAAAGAAAAAAACCAAAGGGAUAAAAAGACAUACAGCCGAAGAUGUUUGAAAUAUGGAUUCCAGAGGAAAAGAGCACUUCCAGGAAGGAGGCAGAGCGUGGGUUGAGAUGUAGGUUGGACAUGGCAGUGAUGGUGACCGGACCAAGGUAGCCUGAAUUUUUCAAUGCCGAUCUUAUACUCCGACCAGCCAGCGAUGGACUAAAAGAAUCGGGAAGCGGACAGCUGUCCAUGUCCCAAAGCACAGUCGUUGUCGCCAUAUGCACACUUGGCCGAAAGCAAAAAUGAGGAGCGGGGGCAAAGGAUCUGUUGAGCCUCAUCGCAUAUGCGGAAAAGAGGUUCAGAUAACAUUUCCAGUGUGUAUCACCACAGAUGAGCAUUAAAGUAGCCGGAGGUUGCGCACUCAUUCUCCAGCCAAACAACUGAGACAGGUAAUCUGUUUCGAGCAAAAAGGAAAUCAACGUUGAGAACCGUUACUUGUAAAAAGAAAAAAACCAAAGGGAUAAAAAGACAUACAGCCGAAGAUGUUUGAAAUAUGGAUUCCAGAGGAAAAGAGCGCUUCCAGGAGGGAAGCAGAGCGUGGGUUGAGAUGUAGGUUGGACAUGGCAGUGAUGGUGACCGGACCAAGGUAGCCUGAAUUUUUCAAUGCCGAUCUUAUACUCCGACCAGCCAGCGAUGGACUAAAAGAAUCGGGUUUUCGUCCAGGAUGUGCCACGAGAAUGGUGAAUCCCUCAUCGCAUAUGCGGAAAAGAGGUUCAGAUAACAUUUCCAGUGUAGUAUCACCACAGAUGAGCAUUAAAGUAGCCGGAGGUUGCACACUCAUUCUCCAGCCAAACAACUGAGACAGACAAUCUGUUUUGAGCAAAAAAGAAAUCAACGUUGAGAACCGUUACUUGUAAAAAGAAAAAAACCAAAGGGAUAAAAAGACAUACAGCCGAAGAUGUUUGAAAUAUGGAUUCCAGAGGAAAAGAGCACUUCCAGGAAGGAGGCAGAGCGUGGGUUGAGAUGUAGGUUGGACAUGGCAGUGAUGGUGACCGGACCAAGGUAGCCUGAAUUUUUCAAUGCCGAUCUUAUACUCCGACCAGCCAGCGAUGGACUAAAAGAAUCGGGAAGCGGACAGCUGUCCAUGUCCCAAAGCACAGUCGUUGUCGCCAUAUGCACACUUGGCCGAAAGCGAAAAUGAGGAGCGGGGGCAAAGGAUCUGUUGAGCCUUAUCUUCACAGGAUCUGAAGCAAGACCUCAUCACGGAUGUGCUCUAGGUUGCCAAUGGCAGUGAUGUUAUGACCAUCGUAGCCUGCAUCCGUCAAAGCCGAUGAAAUUCUCGGACCAACCAGUGGGAACCGGACAGCUGUUGAUGUCCCACCACACCGAGAUUGGUAUCAAGUCUUCACUCAUCUCUUUAACAUUCAAACAAUUCGGUGUUAGUUAGGUUCUAUUCUAGAAACGAAAAUCUUCUUCAAUCAAACAUCAGACAAAGAAUUCGUAGACAGACUGCUAAAUCAAAAUCACUGACCUCGUUGAUUGUCGAAUCCGAAAGGCCAAACGGAAGGACCGAAAUAUUUAUUUUGAGGGAGGUGGGCGACAAGGGAACUUUGGCGGCAUAUCUGGUUUAUAUAUAUAUAUGAAUAAUGUUGGAGCCCUACUUUAGUUUCUUCCCCUUUUACUUCUUUCCUAUCUUUUUAUUUUUUCCCUCCCUUUUUUAAAAGCAGAAUUCCACAAAUAUAAUAUUUAUGUAUUAGUAUAUAAUUUCAUUUAAAAAAUAUCAAAAUAUGUAUCUUUUUGGAUUUAAAUAUUUUCUUAAAUGAGACUCGACUCAUAUUCAUAUAGCUUUAUUUAAAUUAUUUGUAUCAUGUUAUAAUGAAAUUUUAAACCACUAGACACAAAAUUUUGAGUAUGGAACUUUUAAUACUUUAAUUAAUUUAUAGGUUUUUUUAAAGAUUCAAAAUAUAACAUUCUAGGAGUGCGUCCACGCUUCGAGCGGAAUAUUGUGUUUCAUUGUUGUUAAGUAUGAUCUAUAUAAUGUAGUUAUUUGAUCGUUUUUAUUUGUUAAAAGUAUUGUUUGGUAUUUUCAGUGUGUUAUGUACUAAUAGGUAAUACGUUAAUAUAUUUUGUGUUUAUUUUUUUCAAUAUUGUGUAGUACUUAUUAGUGAUGGAGUGAACAUCUCGUGUAAACAAUAAUAAUUUUCAAUAUUGUAUUUAGGUAUGUGUUGAUUAUAAAAUUAAAGAUUUUAGCGUCAAACUAUAUUCUAUUUUUUAAUAUUUUUGAAAAUUAUUAUUUUAAGAUAUUUUUUGUCUUUUCUCCAUAUUUUGAUAUUGAGUCGUCACCAUUUAUAUAUUUUGUUUAUUUUUCUCUGUGUGGUGUUUUCACCAUCACCGUCACCUCUGUGUUCUUGUUCUUCCUCGCAUUCUUCUCCUCAAUGAUAUUUGUUGUAAAUCGAAUAUAUAAUUUUCAAGUUAUGAAGUUGUUUCAGAAAUUUUUAAUGUGAGACUUUAACCAUUUUUAGUAAUUUAUAGUCGUUUUAAAAUAUUUGAAAUAUAGCAUAUAAAAACAACAGAAAGAAAUCUCAUAACAGAACAAGCAAAAGAUUGAAUUUCAAUUAAACAAUGACAUCAAACUUUAAGCUGUAGCAAAAGAAUAUUUUAUAGACUGCUUAGAUAGAUAUCUGCUGAAAAGCCUCUAUUUCAGCAAGAGGACUCCGUCUUGUUCCUGUACCUGUACAGAACUCUCUUCUUCUUCUUGCUGGAAACAUUGUCAACGGUCAGAACAAUCUUACCAGACUCACUGUUCUUGAAACUGUUCCUCAACGGUCCUUCGUUUGAUCCAAUCUUCUUCCCCUUUUGGACAAUUAUAGUGUAAGCCCCUUCAUUUGCUGGUACAAACUCUUCCUUGUAACUCACUUCCCAUCCCAAAACCGCAAUGUCCCACACCAAUGUCCCUUCAGUCUAUGAAACAAACAAAGAGUAGAUAGAUAUUUUACCACUCCUGAAACAAGAACGGACUUUGGUUUUCAAAAUUCUUUACCUCAGCAGCUGGGAUCUCUAUGGUUUCAGAUGAUCCAGGCUUAACGACAACUUCAGAAACAGCUUCGUUGGAGAACUCGGUAUCAUCAUAUCUUUUGAAACCACCGUACUGAACCGGGAUCUCUUCUGCUGGAAUGUAGCUUCAUCAAGCCACAAUGCAUAAUAAAUGUUAUGAUAAAGAUUAGAGACAUUCAAAGAAUAUUAGGAGGAGCGGUGGUUAGUAUUGGGUGCUUACUUGAGAAGAGUCUCUGUGACAUUAGCUGGACGAGUCACAACAAACUUGCUCUUGGUUCUUUGAGUUAAGAAUGGUGACAGGAGAGUGCUGCCAGCAUAGAACAAGAAGGGAACAUUUAUGAAUACCUGCAGAACAUUAAAAACAAUUUACACACAAGUCAGGAGAUUUGGUAAUAGAGAGAAGGCAAGUGAAUGAUAAUAAUAUGAACUCGCGUUUCUGGAGACGAGUUCCGGGUAAUUAUCCUGCAGAGCUACUAUUGCGUUUUUGAUUGCGACCCAGAGCUCCUUUUUAUAAAGUCCAGGACAGUUCUUGAGAUCAUGGAUCUGGAGAAGAGAAGUAACACCUCCUGGUUUCAGAUCAAGCUUCUGGAUUCCCUUCUCCAUCAGCUGAAACCUCCAUCUCAAUAGAUUCUCCCUGCUCUGGUAAAGCUCCUCGUUACCAAAAACGCUGUAGAUAUUGUAACAGACAGGGCGUGAUUCUAGGUCCAGACCGUUCAUGUAAGCUGCAGAGGCAAGAUCCUCCCCAAAGUCUUCUCCAAGGAUUGAAUCAAUCUUGUGUUCCUUUCUCCACUUGAGGGUUUUCUUGAGCAUCUCAAAGGCUUCGUUGACUUUGAAGUCUCUUGCUCUCAAGAACUUCAUGAGGAUCACAUCGGUUCCUUCAGCUCCUUUGCUUGGAAGCAGUGGCACUCCCCAUAGCUCGAUGUCGUUAUCCACAGUCUCAGCCUUUACUUCUUCUUCAGGGCUUUCCUUCUCAAUGGUCUCAGCAUUAGCAUCAGUCUUGGCCUCUUCCUUGGGGCUGUCCUCAGCAACAACCGCUGGUUCACUCGUCUCAGCUUUAGCUUCUUCUUCGGUAACAAUAGCCUCACUCUUCUUCUUCUCCACCUUAACAGGACUCUCUUUCAAGAGAGUGUUUUCAGUAAUAGCUUCCUCAAGCUUUGUCUUGAGAUCGCUGAGAGCCUUUUUCUCGGACUCUUUCAAAUCAGAGAAGAAAUCGCUUUCUUCCUUGAAAGAAGAUAUCUUCUCAACACCCUUAGGCUUGCUCUCAUCUUCUUCUUCUUCAACCUUAGUCUCUUUCUCUUCCUCAACAACAACUUUAACUGUUGUCUCCUCCUCCACAGAUGCAAUAACAACCGCAGACUCUACCUGUUUCUCCUCCACCUUUACUUCAGCAGUCAUAUUUAAUCUUUUGCCUAUAAUCACAUUUAAACAAAUCUUUAAUCAUCAAAACAUAACACACUAACAAAAAAAAAACUCAUAACUUUUUUUAUCUAUGAAUUACUAAAUUUGAAUAACCUAAUUCUCCUUCUUGAUUCUUGAAGAGAUCUGAAAUUAAAACAGUAGCUACUUCUUGGAGAGAAAUCACAAUACUAAAAGCAAGAUAUAGAGAGCAAAGAAGUUGUCCACGUCACUAAAAAUAUUCCUCCAAUCAGAACAUUUCAUUUGAACAUGUCAGAUGGGCUUCAGUCUAUUGAGUUACGUUUGGGCCUCAGGUGCAUAUGUUUUUUCGCUGGGCUUUGUUUAGUAAAAUCUUCCAAUAACAAUCAUUUUUCCUGUCAAGUCAUAUUACCUGUUCAUCUGCGGCCCAAUUAACCCAAGUAAAAAAACUCUAUCUAUUAUCUUUUUUUUUGACUCCAUCUUCUCCGUUUCUUCUUCAUUCAAUCUCUGUUACUGAACCUCAACUGUUAUCCAUGUUCUUCAAUACCCUCUUAAGGAAUUCCUUCCACCUCCUCUCGAAAAAACAAAAAAGAAAAUCCCUUUCCUCGACCUUAUGGCCAGAUGGUGAGUCAAAGGUCUUAAUCGCCGAGAGAGACGGUUUAGUCGGCGAGCUAAUGAAAUCAAUUAGAAGAGACUCAGAUUCGAGCUUAAUCGAAGCGACGCUAUCCUGCUUGAUCGCGAUCAGCUCACCGAGGCGCGUGAAACUCAAUCUAAUCCGAGAGAAGCUCAUCAAGGAUCUUACGAAGCUGUUAACGGAUCCAACGACGGCGAGCGUUUCAAUGACGGAGAAAUCUUUAAAGCUUCUCGAGAGUUUAGCAUCCACAAAGGAAGGCAGAUCGGAAAACUGCGGAGGAGACGGCGAGUGUUUGAAGACGGUGGUUAAGAAGCUGAUGAAAGUAUCGACGGCGGCGACGGAGCACGCCGUGACGGUGAUUUGGAGCGUCUCUUAUCUUUUCACGGAUCCACAAGCGAGCGUUUCGGUGAUGGAGAAAUAUUUGAAGCUUCUCAAGAGUUUAGCAUCCACAAAGGAAGGCAGAUCGGAAAUCUGCGGAGGAGACGGUGAGUGAUUAAAGACGGUGGUUAAGUGGUUAAGAAGCUGAUGAAAGUAUCGACGGUGCCGUGACGGUGCUUUGGAGCGUCUCUUAUAUUUUCAAAGAAGAGAAGGCGCUUGAAGCGAUUACGAGUACUAACGGCGUUACGAAGAUCCUGUUACAAUAUAUGAAUACUAGAACUAUAAAUUUUUUUCUACUUGAUGCUUUUUACUGUUUUGAGUUCUUGGUUUUAAGAUUUAUAAAAUAACCGAAGGUAUAUGUUUUUUUGGUUUCCUUCUCUCUCUUUUGUUGUUGAGAAUUCAUGUAUUACAUAUAUUCCUGAUGAUGACACAAUGUUUCGUUUGGAUUUUUUUCACCCAGGUUUGGUGCAGAAGAUGUUUUAACCAUCUAGGCGUUUUGCAUGUUCAAGGUAUAAGUUUCAGUUAUGUGUAAAACAUUGUAAUUUUCUUUUCAGCUGAAUGAUUGCAUAGAUAAUGGUAAUACUGUUCUAAAUUGUUAAUGUAGUGAUUUCAUGCUCUCUUUACGGGGAUGAUGAUACUUGGAAAGCUUGGCUUAAUGUUGAUAACUCUAUGCUCCACAACUACUACUAUUUUUACAAUCUUUGAUAGUUUUCACAAGCAAAAAUUGUCUAGGCUUAUGCACAUAUUCUCGAAAUUGUAGUUCUAAUGCUAAAGUCACACAUUUAUAUCAUUAUGCUUACGAGUUGAGAGCUGCUCUUCACUUUCUCUAAGGUGAGAAAAAAAAAGAUUGAUUGUGGAGCAACAAAAGUUUUAAUGUCUUUUAGUUUCCCAGAAAAUAAUUAACUAUGCAGCCAUUAAAAGUAGUAAUUUGGACUAAUCUUUGGAAACUAAAUAUAACAAUUUAUCUAACAGAAAAAACAUUUGAAUAUUAAAGUUUCGAUUUUUGUCUAUUAAUGUUAGAACCAAUACAAAAUCACUGGCAAAAAACCAAGAAAAAUAAACUUGAUUAAAAUAUUAAUUCCAUGAAAAAAUUUAAAGACAAUGGAAAUCAUGUAAAUAUUUCAUCUAACAGAACAAGAUGAUGUCUUAAAAAUAAAAUUAAUAUCAAUAUAAUGUGUAUAUAAAUCAUUAUAAGAAGUAUCUUGAAGGAGAUGAACAUUUUUUAGACACUAUAAAAAAUUAUAUCAUUUUAAAAAAAAACAAUCAUAGAACAAAAUGGAAAAUAACAAUAACUAAACAGUGAGUACAUAACUGAACAUAUAAAAAAGGACUAGAAAAACAUAUAAAUAGGAAAAAUAACUGAAGACAUAAAUAACUAACAAACUUAAUAUAAUUAAAACAUAUAGAAAAAAUGACUGAGAACAUAUAAAUGAAAAAUACAUAUAACACAAGAACCAAACCAAAAAUGAAUGAACGUUUUUUAUCAUAGGUCCACAUUUGAACAACCAACUAUUUAAGAUGUAAUAUAUAUAUUUUCACAAAACUAUCGAACAUCAAAGAGUGAAAAAAUUAUCUUGGUACGAAUAGUCUUAAAAUAUAUAAUGAUAAAAACCACAUUAACUAACUAUAUAUAAUAUAUUAUAAAUUAAUCAACACAAUGCAUGAAAAUUAAUACUCGCCAUAAGAUUUUUAACAAUAUUUUACUUUAACAAUUCCAUAAUAAUUAUUUGAAGCUUCAAAUGAUAAUUAACAAAAAAAAACUAAAAUACAUAAACAUCAUACCACAUAUAAAGUCAAUAAAUAUUAACGACUGAGAACAAGAAAAUAACAUCAAACUAAUUUAUUAUACUCAUUUGUAAAUUUCAUGAAUUAUAAAUCUAUUGUAUAGUGUCAAAAAUAUGUGGUACAAAAUAAAAAAGUUAAACAAGUCAUACUCCGAAUUUAUUAAAAAUUAAACAAAAUAAUGAAAAUUAUCUAACAUAUAAAAAUUUAUAAAAUACAAACUUAAACAAACAUCUUUCUUAAUGAAAAAUUAUAAUAAACUUAAAAAUAUAAUUAUAAUUUUAUGAUUGUAAAUUGUUAGUUAUGAAUUUCAAUUACCAUCUCAAAAUAAAAAUACGCAAGUUUAAUUUAAUUUAAUAAUAUUAUAGGAAAAUCCGGGCGUAGCCCGGAAAACCCUCUAGUUUACCUAAAUAAAGAGUAUCUCUCAAUUCGACUUCCUCUUGUGUUUUAUCUUUUACGGUUUAUUAAUAAGAGAGGAGAAAGUAUUGAGCUUUGAGGGCUGGACCCCACCCAUUCUAAGCAACGGUCAAAUGUAGGGUCCACCACUAAAAUAAAACAAGGAGAAACCAUAACCGUUGGAUUUAAAAGCCUUUCAAUCUCUCUCCUCCAUCCAAUGAUCCAAACUUUACACAAAAGAUAUCUGCUGGGUCCCCCACGUUCGUCUUCGCAUGUUGCAACGGUCGUCUCUGCUGAUCUGGUCAUCCACCGGGAGAUCGACACGUGGACUAUUCGACAGAGUAUGUUCGGCGCAACGGACUGAUUUUUUUUUUUGUCAAUUUGAUCUUCAUUCAAGCCCAAAGGGCAUACAACUGAUUAAUACAAAGGCCCAAUUAGAGAAGAUUACAGAAAUCCCUUAUAUAAAGUCGCAUCACCAAUCUAAAGCUGACAUGUGGAAAAUCUAUUUUUCAAAAAAAAAAUUGGAAUAGAGAACAAUCUGAAAGAAAAAUAAUGCUUAAAAGAAAAAACUAACAGAAACCGUAGAACAAUUUUAAAAAAGUAGCCCACAACCCAUGAUUCUUUGUUUGUUCACUGUCCUUUUCAUUUGAUUUUUUUUUACAUAUUCUGUUUUGUAUUGUUUCGAUCAAGUUAAUUAUUGUCUAUUUUUUUUAAUCUUCCAUUAUUAAAAAUUCUUUCAGUUCUAUUGGUGAAACUGUUUUCCAAUAUCUUUACCGUCCCACUACCUUCACUUCUUUUGCAUCUAAAUAAACUGAAAUCUCCACAUUUAAAAGAUCAGAAAACACCGUAAAUUAUAAGUUUCACAUAAAACUCAGAAAAUUUCUAACACAUGUAUUCAUUGCGUAAAAUAUUUAAGCACGGAAGACAUAGAACAAGAAGCACCAACUCCUCAAAGUCUAAUAAUAAUGGUGAUGAAAUGUCUUAACACUCUCAUUUAAAGCUCCAUCGAAUGUUUCGUUUCUCAAAUGCGUUCAAGCCCUCGAGUUCAUCCACAAAAGCAGUUGUCAACUAUUAAAGAUAAAUUUCUGAAUCUACCAACUAAUUUAUUUUAAUAGAUCUAUCUAUAUCUUUUUUUUUUUUUUUUUCAACUUUAUCUUCAUUCAAGCCCAAAGGGCAUACAACUGAUUAAUACAAAGGCCCAAUUAGAGAAGAUUACAGAAAUUAAAACCUAAAGAGGAAACAGUUGAUGAUGCUUUUGCCAUCCACGUGUAGGCUCCAUUAAAUCUCCCAAGACACGUGUCCUCUCCUUGUGUCUUUCAUCAUGCAGCGGCAGAUCUCAACCGCCUCAAGCUUCCAUGGCCGGGAUGAAACUGUAAUCGCCUCUCCAUCUAUGAUUCUUCUCCGCUAAACCUUGUACCAAUCAAAGCUCUUCCACCAUUAAACGUACUAACUUGCUGUACACUUAAAACCACCGGGGAUAAUUUGCACAGGAGAAGCUCUGGACAACCGGAAAUAGAUUUAUGUCGGACCGCCAUAAGAAACGCCGACUUUACUAAUCAUACUCCAAAUUGAUAGAGACUUUCAAUACUCCAUACUUCUUCCAAUCAGAGAAACUUUACAUCGAUCUUACUAAUCGAUUAGAGAAGUAAAGAAUUAUACUCCUAGGAAGAACUCUGGACAAACCGAUGAUUAGAGAGUUUAGACAGAAGCUAGCCGAAUUCAAGCACAUGUGAAAGGGCCAAGUACCACUCCGAUUAUAAUUCGGAGUUCUUUUAUUUAUCGAUCCUGAUAAUCAGAGAUAAGAAAGGAAACAUGAAGUAUAGCUCUGUACCGGACCGAAACUCACAACAAAAGUCGCCAUGCGAAAAUAUUAAUCCGACAAGCGGAAGUAGUAACUCGCCAAGCGAAAGUAUAUACACCAAAAGACAAAAGAAACAGAGAGACUGGUGACCGGCGGCAACGCUACCGGCCACCGAAACUAUAUUCUUUGUUGGAGACUCUAGAGAGAAGUUGGCGCAACGGACUGAUUAUUCAACCGAAGUCCCUACUUCCAUUUUUUGUGUUUUGCUGACUGUAAAACUUAGAUUCAAUGUGUUCU
rnacentral:lncRNA from 1 species